rnacentral:lncRNA from 1 species
AAGAGGCUACGAAUUCUUUUAAUUCUACAAGUGGAGACAGGAAAUGAAGCUCCUAGACCAAUAACUAACAUUAAAUGACAAACCUUCUCAUCCAAAGAGUUUAUGGCGUUUGGUUCUUUGCUACCAUUAAUUUCCAUCGAAGAACAUUCAUUUUGACUUACAAAUUGGGAAAAAUCGUGUACGAUAUCAUGCAUCUUGCACGCUACAAUAAGAUUAUCAUGAUCUCUCUUAAACUCUUGAAAGAAAGAGCGAGUGGCUAAGAUGUUAAAAUACUCUUCACCAAUUAUGUCCAUCUCUUCAUCUUGUUCUGCACUAAAGUAACCUUGAGCCAUCCACAUGCUAAUUAGUUUCUCUUUCAUUAUAUUGAAGUCCUUUGGAAAGACAGCACAAUAUGAAAAACACCUUUUCACUCUGGACGGCAAAUCAUUAUAACUCAACAACAGAGGAGAUAGAACACCUUUCUCAAUCUCUUCGAUUUUCCACAAAUCAUUAUUUAAGAUUCUACACCACUCUUCUUCGGUUUUUUUGGAACGCAUGAGACUCCCUAUUACCUUUGCUGCAAGAGGCAAACCUUUGCAUCUGCUUGCAAUUUGUUGCCCGAUUUGCUCUAAUUUUUCACAUUCUUCAAUGGCCCGACCAUGAAAUGCUAUCCUAUUAAACAAUAACCAACAUUCCUCUUCAGCCAAUUCUUUGAUGGAGAUAAUAUCUAAAGAUCCCAUCAUGCACGCAACUGACUCUUUACGUGUGGUAACUAAAAUUUUACUUCCUUGGAGACCAUUCUUUAGACAAUGGUAGAAUGGUUCCCAUUUCACGUAAUUUCCAUCCCACACGUCAUCUAAGACAAGAAGAAAGCUCUUCCCUGCAAUGGAUUCAUAAAUAUGUCUAAGAAGAGAUUGGAAUUCACCUAAAUGAGAUUCUUGACCAUCCAAAGCUUCGACCAUUGCUUUGGCAACCCUGAACUCUUCAAAAGUUUCUGACACACACACCCAUAGAAUUUUAUCGAACUUUCUUAUCACCUCCUCAUGAUUACAAGCUAAUUGUGCGAGAGUGGUUUUCCCUAUACCUCCCAUACCAACAAUAGAGAUGAUAUGAAGGCCUUUUUGUUGCUCGCUACUCUCACACAACAGCUUGCUCAAGAGUUCAUUCUUCUCACCAACUCUACCACAUAUCUCCUCCUCAUCAAUGAAGGAGGUACUCUGUACUCGCCCAGGUCUCGCACUACUGGCACCACCACUCUCAACAAACUUAAACAUAUCCUUUUGAGUGGCUAUAACACCCAGCUUUUUAUUGAUUCCUUUGAUCUUGACAGCAAUGUCCUGACGUAGAAUGAUCUUUUUAAAACCAAUGCUAGAGGCAGGGAAGCAUGAACUUACCUGCUUCUGAGCUGAAUCAGCAUUCUGCUUCAUUUGCAAUCUGCGUCGUGCAGUGAUCCAUUCGUCCAACACAUCUUCAAUGUCGUAGGACACGUCCUUGAGUCGACCCAGCCAAACUCUGACGGAUUCCUCCUUCACUUGCCUCUGCUCUGCGUCACUGAGCACAGCUUGAAUCGUUUGAAGAUGGCUUGUAAGCUUUUCAACUUCCUGUUCAGCGCCCUUAACUAGCUUCACCUGCUGUGUCAACUCUUCAGCAGAAACGGAAAUCAGCUGCUCUAAGAGAGGAGAAACGAUGGCAUCAACCAUGAUGUUGGUCAAUAAUUUGGAUAGAAAUUGAUUUUGCAAAAAUGCUGAAAGGAAAUUAUGUUUUGAAAAUGCUGCAUCUGCAUCUGCAUCUGCAAUAUAUAAUACAAAGCAGUCCCCACACGCUAAAGCUGUCGGGGAAAGUGGAUGCAAAUGAACAUGCAAUUGACAAUACAGAUUUGAUCUUGAGAUUUUUAAAAUUUUAUUUAUUUUUAUUGAUCGUUUUAUAUAUUGUGUAGAAGUUAUAGGUGAAGAUAUUAACAAUAUGCCGGCGCACUAUGUUAUCCACCACUCAGUAAAAUUUUAAUUGUUCGGCAAAGUUUUUUUACUAUAAUAAGGGAAAAUUUGUGGUGCAACUGUAGUACCAUGUCACAGUUGUACCCAGUCAUUAGAUAUCAAUAGACCUCACCAAUCUAAGUGUAUUCAACGGCUGGAUGCAACUGUAAUACGGUACCGCAGUUGCCUGAUCCCUAUAAUAAACAUCAUUUUACUGUUAUCUUAUUUGAUAACUUACAGAAAUCAUUUUACUAAUUUGAACUCCACACUUAAUGUGAAAGCUGAAAUUAUGCACAGGAGUGCCCCACACGGCAGCUAUUUUAGAAAAUGAAUGCAAAUGGAAAUAUGCGUUGAUGCUUUUUAAAAAGGUUGUGGUUAUCUUUUUCAUCAUUCUGGAUUUAAUUAAUUAAUUAUGCUGCGUUGACUUACGUCAAUUUUGUACAGUAAAUAUCGCUCUUUCCUGGAGACUACUGCUCUAUUGAUUCUUCUCUUCCUAUUUUCUUUUCCAUAAACUAAUUUUAUUAGGUAAAUGUGUGAAAAGGUUUCUACUAAUUCCAAUCGAAAUUUCUCAGAAAAGAUUUGGUAGGUUCUUGUCGUUUGGAUCAAGUUUAUACGGCGUUAAUGUGUUAUUGAAUUUUGUUAUAAUACAAAAAGAACCAGCGGGCAUGUGAUGAGGGCAUUAUAUAAAUAUUGAGUGGCAUACGGAUGCGGGUCUUUUAACCCAUCAAAUUCCUCUUUAGACCAACUUACUUUAUACACCAAAAUUUGAAAAAUCAAGUUUUUACUUUUUAAAUAUUUCAUAAUUCCCAGAUUAACCUUAUUAAAGAGAACUCCUUUGUUUUGUUAUUUUUCUCAAUAUGUUACAUAUACAAAUUAUCUGCACUAUGAAAUCAAUCAAAAUAAAAAGAACAAGUUAUAAUUGGGUUAAUUCGAGAAAACCCAUACCUCCAUAAAUAUGUUUUUGGUGCUUUGAGGAACCAAAUAUCUCCCAAUACAACUAAUCAAUUGCCAAAUAAAAAUAUUCUAGCCUACCAUUAUUGACAUUGAUCCAGGGGCAGACCCAGGACUUAUUAUUACCUCGGGCUAAAUUUUAAAAUUUAUAUUUUGAAGCAAAAAUAAAAAUUUAUAAGUAGACAAAAGUACAUUAAAUAAGGGGAACACUAAGAACUCUAUCCCCAUAAAUAUGUACUAUAAACAAAAAUAAUUAUAAAAAAAGAGUAUAAAACAAAAAACAAUUUAAAUAUCAAAAUACUAAUUUUCAAUUAUGAAAUUUGACAUUACAACCUAUAAUAACUUGUAAUUAUAUAAGGAUUAAGAAAUCAAUUAAGAAUUUUAAACUAAAAUAGAUUAAUAUAUGUAAUUACAAUCAAUUAAAAAUUACAAGUAAAACUUUUAUGUUUGAAAUCAAGUACUAAAUUGCCAAGCUUAAUAAAUUAAACAAUUAAAAUUUAUGCAUCCAUUCAAAUUAGAAAAGUAUUAUUAGUUAAAAAAAUUAAUAAUAAACUAAAUUCAAUUCAGCAAAAAAGUACUUAGAUGCAGUUGUUUCUUUAUCAGGUGCUCUAACUCUUUUUAAAGAACUAGAUGUUGAUAAUCCUUCUAUCAAAAGCUCCUUAAAAUAUUCAAAUUUUAUUUUUUAACUUGUCCUCCUAGUUAAUGGAACUAAAAAAUAAAGUAUAAAAAUUCAUAUAAAAAAUUUAUGAAAAUGUUGAUAAUUGUUACUAUAUGUUGUUUUUAUAAGUAUUUUUUUUAAUACCAUUGAUGAUGUUAUAUUACGUUGACACACUUUUUUUUCAAUGAGAAUUUUUUAAAAUAAAUUAAAGCAGUAAUAAAAUUUUAGCUCCCUAAUAUUUACAAUCUAUUCAAUAAAUAUAUAGUUUAAUCAUUUUAUAAAAUAAGUCACUAAUUUCAAUUGAAAAUAAUAUAAUUGAAUUAGGGACAUAUUUGAAAAUAAAAUAAAAACUCUAUUGUUAUUUGAAAUUGAUGAAAACAUAAGGAUAAUUGAGUUAGGGACAUAUUUGAAGAUUAAAUAAAAACUCUAUUAUUAUAAUAAAUUGAUGAAAUCAUAAACAAGUUAAAAGAUAGAAAAAUACACCCUCAAUGUUCCAAUUACGUAAUGAGGAAUUAAAGUAAGAGACAAACUAGAAGACAAUAAAAACAUACAUUCUAAUGCCCGGUAUUGGUUUUGUAGUGCAUUGAAAUGUGUGUUUUCCUUAUCUAUUAUUUCUUGUUGGAACAUUACUCACUCACUCUCUCUCUCUCUCUCUCUCUAUAUAUGUGUGUGUAGAAAUCAUCUAGCAAGGAUUCUCGCACUUUAUUAAAGUACGGAAAAGUUUUUAAAUCAUGUGGUUUAAUAGUGUAUAUACAUAGCACUAUUAAAUCAUUUGAGUAAAUCUUGUACUUUAAUAAAAUAUGAGAACCCUGCUACAUAAUUGUGUGUGUGUAUGAUUUAAUAGUGUUACAAUAUUAUAAACAAUUUUUACAAUGUUCUAAAAUAAUGUACAAAAAUUGACUUUUUCUAAUGAUGAAGAGUACGUAAUAGUACUCUUCUUUCUCUGUUUAGAAUGAAUUGCAGGUUGCGUUCCAUAUUCAGAUUUAAAGCCAAGAAAAGACUAAACUUUAAUAUGGGUACAGGUGUAUUUUUUUUUUUUCAUCUUUCAAUAGUGAAAGGUUUAGAAGAAUAAUGAAAUGCGCAUCGUCGCGGAAGUUAUUGUAUGUGAUGGUCACCUAGUAAUUAGCCGGAUUGUUAAAAGUAACCAAUGAAUAGGUGAUACAUGGCCCAUCCCACACAAUAACGUAUAGGACCGUGCGCACUUGAUCUGGUCUCCUUUAUCUUAAGCUAUGUUCUUUCUUCUUCUUUGACCGAGCCCUUCAAUAAAUCAGCACAGGCGUCCAACAUAAUUAUACUCUUACGAAAGGGCUUUUGAAGAUAAACUCUUUAGUGCAAUUUCGUUCUCCCUCAAUUUAAUUAGGAUGAUGUUUAAUUAUUUAAAUCGACUGCAACUUGCAAUUUUAUUUAAAAGGGGAUUGUGUUCAAGGGAAAGAAGAUGAAGAGAAUUCAAAAAUAUACAUUUAAUUUUUAUUUUAAUUAAUAUAGAUUUUUUUUAAACUUCAAUAAUGAUACAUCAGUUCUAUUUUAUUUGAAGUUAGUAUUUUAGUGCAUCGUUGCGCAUAUUAUCAUUCUUCUAAAUACCUGUUUGGUAUGGUUUGUCUAAUGGUCAUAAGUAAUUAUUUAACCUCAUUAGCUAUUAGCAAAAUUUUGUUGUUGUUUGGUUGUUUUUUAGUAGAGUUUUUAAAAAUUAAAUAAGUUAUUUUGCCUCUAUUAGUAAAAUCUUAAAUUUUGAGCUUUUCGAAAGAGAUGUCAAAAAGUUUUUUUUUUAAUGUUAAAAUGUCCAAAAUAUCUUUUACUUAUUUAACAAUUUUACUUCAUUUUUUUAUGUCACAACUUUAAAAAAAUUUGUCUAUCAAAAAGUAAUUUUAUAUUUUUUGAUAAAAGUUCUUAUGGGCAACCAAACAACUAAGAUUUUUUUAGUAAAAACUCUACCUACAAAAGUUCCACUAACAAAAGCUCCAUUUAAAUAGGCUCUAUAAUUAUACCAAAUAGAAUCUAAGAUUAUGAUGACCCUACUAAUAUUAAAAGAUGCCAAAAUAUAUACAUAUAUAUCACACCUAUACCCAUAUUAAAGUUUAGUUUUUUGUUGGCGUGAAUAUGGAAGGCAGCUUGCAAUUCUUUUUAAAAAGAGAAAAAAAUAGUACUGUUAUUAGGGGUAGACCCAAGACUUUAUAUUAUCCCGGGCUCAACUAAUAAUUUUAUAUUAUAAAGUGAGCAUAAACAUCCAUAAAUAUAAAAAAAUUCAUCAAAUAAGGGAGACACCAAAAACCGUGUAGAUAGGUACUCUAAAUAAAAAGAAUUAUAGAAAAAGUGUAGAAACUAAAAGACAAUUCAAAUAUAAAAACAUUAUUUUUCAAUUACCAAAUCUGACAUUGCAACAUAUAAUAACCUAUAAUUAUAUAAGAAUUAAUAAAUCAAUUAAGAAUUUCAAGCUAAAAUAAAUCAACACUUGUAAUUACAAUCAAUUAAAAAUUACAAGUACAACUUUUAUGUUUGAAAAUUACAUAAUUACCAUGCUUAAAUAAAUUAAACAAUUAAAAUUAUUUUUCUUUUUAAAUUAUAAAAAUAUUAUUAAUCAAAAUUUUAAAUAAUAAACUAAAUUCAACCUAGGAAAAAUGUAUGUGGGUGCUGUUAUUUCUUUACCGGGUACUCUGACUCUCUUCGAAAAACUAAAUGUUGAUAAUUCUUCUAAAAAAACUACUCAAAAUACUCAAAUUUAUUUACUAACUUGUCCUCUUAGUUAACAGAACUAAUAAAUAAAAUAUCAAAAUUUACAUAAAAAGUUUAUGAAAAUGUUGAUAAUUAUUACUAUAUAUUUUUUUCAAGUACUUUUAAUACUAGUGACGAUGUUAUAUUAUAAUAUAAUUAACUUAGGGAGAUAUUUGAAAAUAAAAUAAAAGCUCUAUUGUUAUAUGAAAUUAAUAAAACAUAAAUGUAACUAAAUUUGGAAUAUAUAUGAAAAUAAAAUAGAAACUCUAUCCAUAUGUAAAAUUAAUUGAAAUAUAAGGAUUAAAAGAUUUUUUCCCGACCCGACCGAGUUGUAGGUCCGCCACUGACUAUUAAGUACUUUAUAGUUUUUACUUUUAUUAGUUUAGAAUUUCUUUAUCUUGAAUAAUGACACGUAAACUUUAUUUUUCUGAAGUUGAUAUUUUAAUGCCGUGUGAGCAUUUAUCUCAACUCUUGGAUUAAGUCAUUCUAUGAUAAUUGAACAUGAAUUAUUUAAAUAAAAUACAAGAUAUGUAAAUUUAAUAUAAAAUUUGUAAAUUAACAUUAAGUAUAAAAUAAAAUAUAAAUUAUGUAAAUAGAAUACAAGACUUGUAAAUAGGAGAUAAAACAAAUAAAUUAACGUAGGGUGGUAAAUUGGUGUAUUAUGAUAAAUAAAAAUAGAAACAUGCAAAGAUAAUAUAAAACUUGUUAUCAACAUUAGAUGUCAAAUAAAACAUUAAUAAUAUAAAUGAAACAUAAGACUUGUCUAUUAACAUUUUUCAUCUAAAGAUUGCCAUUAAAGUUUUGAUUAAUAUGUAUGUGUGUGUGUAUUGCUUCAGACUAAAGAUGAAGCCAUUUCAGCUAAGCAAGGCUGGUAAAGGUGUAGUGACGACGCACUAGGUAAAGUGAUUCAUUCGUACUGCCUUUUUUUAUUAUGUUUGUCAACUAUGAUCUUUUUUAUAUUUGAAUGCAUGUUAAGUAGUUGAUGGAUGCGUGCUUUGCAUUUAUUUGUGUUGGUUUGGUUACUAUUUCUGUGGCUAUGACAGUCUUAUGCAGUGGCUGUGAUUUUUAAUAAAACAAAUUGUUAUAACUAUUUAUUCAUUUAACGGAAAAAUUGCUCUCUACUGAGUAAAAUAAUAAUGAUAUUAUAUGCAAAUAUAUGUGUUUCAUAUCAGAAAAGGUCUUGAAUGCCUACUUUGAUGUUACUUGUAUCAUGAAACAUUAUAUAGUUCGUAAUGCAUGAUUUUUUUAAAAUCAUUUUCAGUUUUUGGUUUUUCUAAACCCACUAAACAUUGAAUGAGUUACUCUAAAGAAUUGUGUUGGUGAUGAUAAAUUUCCGUGCAUAUACUGAAUGUUUUGGAACUUUAUUAGCAUAUAUGUAUACAAUAGACACAAAUAAAGCAUUGUUUAUGGUAGUUAUUUCUUUAGAUUGGUGACAAUACCAUAUUGAAUUAAGCAAAAGCAUUAAAGCUAUAGGAGCAGAUAGAUUAUUUCCUACUGCAUUUUCUUUUACUUAAUUUACUGUAUGUUUUCAACUGAUUUUGGGGUAGGAAAAUCCAAAAUCUAUCUUAAACAAUGAAUUUAUAUUUUUGGGGGAGACGGGGUACCUCACUAGUUUAUUGUGUGCGGUGUGGUGUCUCUGAAAUUCGGAGGAGGUGAGAAUGGGAGAGAGAGUGGUAACAAUGGUGGAAGGUCAGAGACAAGAGAGGUGUCCUUCAAAAUGAGCUUCACGCCUACAAAACAAUGAAAUUGAGGUUAGAGGUGAAGCCGGGGUACCCCGGCGUUCACACUCCGACGCUCAAGUUAGCAAACUUAAGUUUUUAUGGCAAAGAGAGCUAGCCAGCCCUCUGUAAAUUAGGGUUUAAGGUUGAAGAAAACCUUUUUUUUUUUGGAGUGUGAGUGUUUUUUGGGCGAAUGAGAGCAUGAUAGAGAAUGAAACCUAGGCGCCUUUAUAUAUGGAGUACCUUAGCUGCCACGUGGCGUACCCUUUUUGGCUAACGUCUUUUUACCAUUUUUAUGAUUCUUGGGGCCGUUAUGUGCAUGUUCACGGCGUAUCUCAUCUUUUGGAAACGUGGCGCGCUCUGGAGAGUGGUUCGGGGUACCUCUGCAGUAGCUGUCGAGUAGGCGGUUGGGGACCACUGUCCUUAGGACAUCGUCCUUCACUUUUGGCAGAGGUCGCAGGCGGCUGUCCCUCCUUUUAGGACGUCGUUUUUUAUUCCUAUUUCUGACAAAAUCAAAUAAUAUCUUUUAGGAGGCGGAGACGUUUCUCAUGGCAGAUAUUUUCGGAGGAUUCUCUUGCAUCCGCUUUGCCGGGUACCUCGAGUUACGUGGGGUACCCCUAAUUAUACGGGGUACCUCUAUUUGUGUGGGGUACCUCUAAUUAUGUGGGGCACCUCAAAUCACGCCGGGCAUCUCGGAUUGUGCGGGAUACCUCAGGUUGUGCCGAAAUCAUUCCAUUGGUUGACACGUGGCGUUCUAUUGCCUUUCCUAUUUUUCCCUCAAACACUAUAUAAAUAAUAAGCUAUUAGAAAUCUAGUAGAACCCUUAACUGAGUUGAUGAACUUGUAGGGAAUUCAUUGCAUAUCGAUGAGAAACCGGUGGCAUAAAUUCUGGUGGUUAACCCGAAUGGGAACUAUAUUAGUUUUGUACUGUCAAUGUAACAAGCCACGUACAAGUCUUUCCCUCAUGCUUUUCGUCAUGUGUGCUUUAUUUGGAUGGCUUAUGGUUAAAUUUUAUAGAUGUCUGUGUUUGUUGAUUAGGACAACCUUAUUUAGUGGCUUUGAUAUUUGAUAUGAAAUAAGUAAUUGUUAACUUUAAAAUUGAAUAAGUUAUCAACCUUUACUGAGUUCAUAAACUUGUGGGGAAUUCAUUGUAUAUUGGAGGGAAACCGGUGACAUAAAUUCUGGUGGUUAACCCGAAUGGGAACUAUAUCAGUCUGUACUGUCGGUGUAAACAAGCCACAUAUAAGUGGUUACAUUUUGUAGAUGUUUGUUGGCUAGGACAACCUUAUUCAGUGGCUCUGAUAUUUGAUAUGAAGUAAUUAAUUGCUGAAUUUAAAUAAUUUGAUAUGAAUUAAAAUUGAAUAAUGAUGUAGGACAGUAGCUAAAAAACAACGAAAUUUAUAUAAACCAGUCCAAAGUAAUGAUGAUGUGUUACUUUUUUGGUCUCACUAAUUAUGGUAGGAGUUGAUCAAUGGUAGAUAUUGUGAAUAAAGAAAAUGUUAUAUGUGCGUGUUUUCUGAAUGUUAUUGAAUGCUUGUUUUGAUAUUUUGUAUCAGGAUCUUAUUUUGGUAUGAAAAGUGGAUAAGAGUUAGAUGCCAUAUGAUAGAAGGUUUGUGGAGUACAUUAUUGGGGUGAAUAUGUUUAUGGAGUUUGCUCUUGAAAACUCUGGUACUAGUGAUAUUAUAAGGUGUCCUUGCACAAAAUGCCAACAUGUUGCAUUUCAUCCUUCUAGGAUAGUGAAUGAUCACUUAUUUUUUAAGGGUUUUGUUGAGAGUUACAUCAUUUGGAUUUGGCAAGGGGAAAACGAACCUAAUAUGUUUCUACACUUCAUAACAAUGUAUAUUAGUACAUUUGUUGCUUUAUGAACUUUUUCUUCAACAUUUUCACAACUGUGGCUUUAUUUAUUUUAGGCUCCAAUACAACCCGGCUCAUAUGAGUGCGGAUACUACGUCAUGCUGUAUAUGAGAGACAUAAUUGCCGAUGCUAGUUUACAGCUGAAUAAUGUAAAUAUUUCCUUUUUUAAUGGUUUUAAAUAAUUCAUUGUCUUAUGUGUUCUCUACUGAUUUAUUUAAUAUUUAACGCAUUUUCCAAUUUGCAGUUCAAUGGCAAAGCAAUAUACACCCAGGAAAAAAUCGAUGAGGUGCAGUAUGAAUGGGUAGAUUAUGUUUGAUCUCUUAUUUAGAAAAUUGCAUUGUUGCUGCUGAUCUGUUGCAGGUAAUUAGUUUAUAGUUAUUGGUUCAAACUAUUUGCUUUGGCAAAGUUGAGCAGCUAGUAGUUAAUAUUGCAAAACUAAAAUUUAAAUUUUAGUUCAAACUUGGGAACCAAUUGUGUAUUGUAUGAGAUUGUUGUGUUUAGGAUAUGUGAUGAUUCAUGACUCGGAACGUGCAUGUUGUAUAUGAGAUUGUUUAAAUCAGGCGUUGUGGUGAUGGUUAAGUUGUAACAUGCAUGUUGUAUAUGAGAUUGUUUAGAUCAGGAGUUGUGGUGACAGUUAAAUUGUAACAUGCAUGUUAUCUUCAUAUUACUAUGGAAAUUUGUCAUUGAGAUUGCUAUGUUGGGGAGUUACUGCUAGGUUGAUGACUCAUGCUGGUGAGCGAUCAGUUGAUGAGUGAUGCAUUGUUCAAGUUAUGAUGAUUUUAUGUGUUGAUCGAGGUCUUGGAAUAAUUUUAGUUUCUACGUUUGCUUUAAACAUUGCUUGUUGGUUAAUUUGCUUUGAAAGGUUUGCUUGAACACUACUUGCUGGUUAACUUGCUUUCAAAGGUUUGCUUUGAACAUUGCUUGUUGGUUAAUUUGCUUUGAAAGGUUGUUGUGACGAUUGAGCUAGUGGCUAAGUACCAUGCAAAUCGAGCGAAUUGCCUAGUUACUUUAAUCUUAGCUUGUAAUUGUAAUUGUUUCUGCAUUUUGCAGGUGUUGCUAAUCAUUAACUUGCUGAUGCUAGUUUCUUCAGGUGUUCAUGUUGUGGAUUUAUGGACUUGCUAAAGUUUAUAUGUGUUGUAGCUGAAUUUCUUGUUCAAAUUUGUAUUUUAUAAGUUUAUUGGGGAACAAUUUCUUACUUGAGUUAUUACUUUAUAAAUGAUAAUGAAGAUGAAUGUUUAAAUCAUUCAGAUAAAUGUUUAGAGUGAUACUUGGAUUCUCAAUUAUUAAUGACUUUUGUCCAACUUUAUAUUUUUAGCAAUUUAAUUAUAUUUAUAUUAUAUAUAUAAAUAAUAAAUUAUUUGAUAAUAAUAAUAAUAAAAAUUGGCGCCAAAAAAUUAAAAAACAAAAUUAUAAAAUUGGUGUAAAAAAUUAAAAACUUAUUUCCCACCAAAUUAUUUAUUAAAAGCAUUCCCACCGAAUUAAUUUUUAAUUUUAUAUAAUUUUUCAUUAAUUUUAUAUUAUUUUAAUAAAAUAUCUAUUUUUUUGAUAAAUAUUAGUCAUCCAGGUAAAAAAUAAUGUCAGACAAUAGUCAUAAGUCAAAGACCGUUUUAUAAUGGAUAAUACAUCAUAAGAUUCAUGACAUGAAAAAACCAUCAUCAAUAAUUUCUUGACACAUGCUUUAAUUCUUGACACAGGCUUCAAUGACGGUUGGGCAAUCGUCAUCUAAUAGCGUGCAUGACCGUCAAAAACCAUCAUUGUUGGGCUUUUUUUUAGUACUGUAAUUGUUUUAUUUUUUUAAACUCUUCAUUUAAUGUAUUUAUUAAUGAGUAAUGAUAGAAGCACAAUCAACUUGUUCAAACAAGUGUGUAUAAACUGAUGUAAGCAUGAAGUAAUUUGUUGUAUAAAAUCAUUAUAGGCCCACAUAAUUAAAAAGAAAAUAUAACUAUCAUCCCUUUUCAGCCAAUAAAAAAUUUGGGAGAUUGAGGAAACGUUAAGACAUGUUGGAACAAUUAGAGCAAAGGAUAACCAUUUGAUAGAAAAUGCACAACAGAAUGAAAAAUUAGUAAAAGAUAAAAUAAAUUUAAAAUUUAACAGAAUUUUUUUAACAAUUGGGGUGUUCUGAUGACUUUUGAAACAUUAGAGGAAAAUGAUUAAUCCACUGAAAUCACAGACCCUGUGUUGUUGAUUCCACAUGAUUAAUCCACCUUUUAGUUUUUUUUUUUUAAAAAAAAAAUUUUCUCAUACGUUUUCCUUAUUGAGGGGGAAAAAAACAACAAAAUGAGUUGCAUCUGCUGUCUCAGAAAUUUUAUGAAGAGAACAAGAAAAAUAAGUUUCCAGUGCUGCCCAAUUUAAGUUGACUGUGUUAAAGAGCUUAGACGACAAGUAGGAAAUAGAUGUAGAAAGUAGCUAGUGAACGAUGAAGAAAUAAUCAUCAAUAAUCUCUUAGACAUUUUACACAGCCUUGGUUUUGUGCGACCACUAAAUAAUUAUAUUUUAUCAAUUUUUAUCAAUUAUAAUCACAGGGUAUAAGUUAAAAAGGGGACUAUAUGACUGUGGAAGUGUGAUCAAUAUUUAAGUAACUAAAGGGAUCGAUGACCAUUUAUCCAGCCAUCCAAGAAAAUGUCCUAUUUUAGUAAAGGGACAAAUUAUAGUAUUUCUAAUAGGGCAGUGAUAUUCCCCCGGCCCUUUUUAUGUGAAACCACCCCAUUGUUUAACCCAUCCCACAAAAAAAAAAUGAAUAUAUUAGUAAAUCCACCCCGUGGAUACCAAAAAUACCCUUGUCGAUUUAAUAUUUAUAAUAUUUUCUUUUCUUUCCUUUUUUUUUCAGAUUUUGUUUCUUUUAAUUUAAAGAACUAAUUGUUUAUUUAAAACUAUCAUAAUAUUGAAAACUCCAUAUUUGGUGUGUGUGUCUAUAUAUAUAUAUAUAUAUAUAUUCCUAUAUGUAAGAGAAGUGAAUUUAUUGAGAAGUACAAGCAUAUUCCCAACAUUUCAUGAAUUCAAAGCAAUUUGACAUCAAUUCAUCCUUUUGCAAUCAUCAAUAUAGCAUCUCAAACAUAUUAAUUCCAUUUAACAAAAUAAAAAUAUUUGUGUUAAGUCUUUUAUUUAUAGAGUUGGCAUCUUAUGGCAAGUCUAGUUAAAUUGGAAUUUUAUUUAUUGCAUAUAUUGUAAUAGAGAUUAAUUUAUUAAUUCCCAAACUUAGUGAGAUUCCAAUUUAUUAAGAAUAUUUGUUUUCUAAUUUAAUUAGAUGUUUAAUUUAGCGAGUCAAUUAAUAAUGAGAUUUUAUAAUUGGCACAUGAAAUCUAUUUAGAGCAAAAAGUUGGUUCAAACAAGAAGUUUAUUAAAUGCUCUAGAUAUUUCUUGGGAGACAAGUAAGAUAAGAAGAUCAGAUUUAUUCCUAUUUAGAUUCAUAUGAAUUAUAAGAUGAAAGAAACUUUUAUUUGGAAAGAAUCCUUGCAAUUUUUGUGAAACCCUAGUGCCUAGAUAAAGAGUGGUAUUUCACAAUUGAAGGCGCGCAACACAGAGCAUAAAGCAGAAUAGCAUAAUACGGCCUCCUCACUAGAGAAUCCGGAUUUAGCGCAUAAUGUUGUGUUGAUUUAUUUUCUUAUCUUCUUUUCAUCUCUGUGGAUCUUAGAUCACUAUACAUUAAAGAAUUGCUAUUAAUCACUUUGCAAAGUACCUUGAGAAUCAUGAAUCAAGAGGGGUAGCAAUUAUUCAAGAGAAGCAGAUUCAGUCUAAGAUUGAGUAAAAUGUAUAGUGAUAAACUAUAAGUGAGAGUCUUAAGUUUGGUAAAUUCAUAGGUUGUGACAUCUUAACUUAGUAAAUUGCUUUUCAUCUAGGCAUGGCCUCAUGGAUGUAGGAUUAGUUAAUCCGAACCACAUAAAAAUCUCCGUGUCAUUUAAUUUAUGCAAUUUAGUAUGUUUUUGAAACGUUAAUAUUUUUUAUACGGAUAAAUAGUAACCGUGAACAGUGUGAUGAACAGUUACCGUAAACAGUAACCAUGAACAAUAAUUUCUAAAAUUAGUUAAGUAAUUAAUUUUAGGAUUUUAAUUGCCUACAUCUAUUUGCAAUAGAUCUAAACUCCUUUCAAUCUGGAAUGCACUCUCAAAUGCCUAAGUUUAUGAUGGACACUCGAGUCAGCCAUGGCCUAUCAACAAUGGCAUAUCAAAGCCUUUAUUAUGUAUUUCUAUUCCUUUGAUACCACAAGCCUUGCUUGUCAAGCAUUUAACAUUCUUGCACCGAUUCACCUUUGUCUGCACGUUCAUAUUACCUUACUGACGUUAUAAGGGUAAAAUUGUCGUUUGACCUAAGCAGAAAAAACAUUGUCUUUUAAACGCGACAUAAAGGAAAAAAAAAAAAAGGCAAAAGUGCUUUAGAACACUACGGGCAAAAAACUAGCAGUUGUUUAUUCAACCUCGUGACCCACCACCAUGCAUAAACAAUGACCAAAAUCCCACCAUUUUUUCUACAAUUUCCAUCCAUUUUCAUCAACGAACAAGCUUCAGUAUCAAAGAUUGAAAGGUCUUGAGGAAAGCCAUAAGCUGCUUAGAAGUCUCGACAUUUCAUAUUGAAGUAUGAGUAGGUUUAUAUGGCUGGUUGUGAGCAGAUUCAAUUAAGCUUGUUGAAUAAAUGAUUCAUGCUUGCUGAUUCUUGUGUUUAAAUAGCCAAAAUUGUAUUUAUUUAGUUUACCAACGGCUACAAUAUUAAAUCUGAUUUUUUUGGUAUUUAUUUAGGGUAAAAGAAUAAUUUUAUGUUUAAGACUUCUCUUAACACGUGCAAACGUAAGUGGAUGGGUACAAUACAAUGUAAACUUCAUGUGGAAUUCUGCCCCAAAAAAUGUGUAUUUUUUACAAAAAAACAAGUGCUGGGCGGAUAAUUACCCUAUAAUUAAAAAUUAUAUAUACUUUUAUAUGCGUAUUGGUUUAUUCUUAUUUUUAUUUAAUAAGUUAAUUUUUGUGUAACAUAUCCAGAAAUUAGCCCAGUCCAAUACAUGCAUACACAUAUCCAUAUAUUUAUAUCCAUAUAUUUAUAGAGUUCUUCUCUAGUGGAGGGGCCCUUAUUCUUUUAGUUUUAAGCCUAUUAAAUUGAGCGGCUUUAUAGUAAAUUGAAAAUUAACCUCUAUUGAGCCGCACUAAAAAAAAUGAGGGUGUCCGCACUCGAGAAUAUUAUAUAUAUAUAUAUAUAGUCCAUUCUAGUGUGGGUGCCUUCAUUUCUUUUUCAUGCGGACACACUUUUAAACCCUACGGUUUUAUAGAGUUAGUUUUAAGCCUAUUAAACUGCACAACUUUAUACUGUAUUGAAAUUAACUUUAUUAAGUCGCACGGAUUAACAACGUGUUUGCACUAAAAUAAAUUAGGGUGCCCAUAUCUGAGAAUGAUUACACACACUGAUACAAUUUGGCCAAUUGUGGUGAAUCAGCUCAAUGAGACAGCAAGGGAAGAGACCCAGCCUCCAGAAAUGGAAAAAGCCCAACCCUUGAAUGAGACACAAGCUAGAGAGCAGCUCAAGACAGGUCCAGCUCGUGCGAGAAAGAAACCAGGAUGGCUCAAAGACUUUGUCAUUUGAGGAAUGUUCGAGAAUGCCUGAGAUAUCAUAAUAACGAAUAUUGUUCUGUUUCAAUUAUUGUUUUGUUAUUAUCAAUUUUAUUCUAUUUAGUUAGUUAAGGGUGCGUGGCUGUUUUUGGAAGGAAGAAUAUAUUGUACUGUCAAGGGACCCGUGAGGUCAUUCAAGGAAAUAUAUCAUUUUGUCUUUUUUCUCAGCUUCGUCUUCUUUCUUUUCUCUACAACUCCCUGUCCCAUUUUUCUUUCUUCAAAUUCUCUUCACCACCGAUUGGAGCCUGCACUCGCUCAAAGAGUGUCGUAUCAACUGGUGCUUUCAUUGCAUUUCAUCUCUUCGCACAAAAAAAAAAUGUCUCUCACAGAACCAACGACUGAUUCAGCGGUCUCUCCACCAUGAAGACGCUCAUUGAAAAUCAAACGCUUGAUGUUCAUCAAACCUUACAACAAUAUAUGUCCACGGUGGAUUCUCUAUUUGAGGAGCUACGUUCCCAAAUCAAUGGUUCCGUCGGAGCUUCAGUGGGUUCUUCCCGUCCAAUGGCGUCGGAACCAGCGUCUUCGACUGUACUGUCAGGUGUUAUUGAUAUCUCUCCUCUGUUGCGUUCUAUGAAAAUGGAUGUCCCAAAAUUUAAUGGCACUGAUCCGAAUGGUUGGGAUUUUCAAAUCAAUGAGUUCUUUGAUUUUCACGGCACCCCUAAUCAUUUAUGCCUCUGUAUUGUAUCUUUUCACGUGGAGGUAAAAGCAGCAGCAUGGUAUUAAUGGAUAAACGCCAACAACUUGCUGAGCACUUGGCAGAAUUUUUUACUCAAUCUUAAGCAAAGAGUUUGGUACAUCUAUGUAUGAAGAUCAUCAAGGUAACCUCUCCAAGCUCACCCAAACAUCGACUAUUGCUGAUUUUCAAUCUGCCUUUGAGGAUUUAAUGAACAAGGUCACGGGCAUCUCCGAGCCAUUGUUGGUUAGUUUCUUUAUCACGGGCUUAAAACCCGAUAUCUGGCGAGAACUAUUAUUUGCAAGACCCACAUCUCUCAUGGAGGCUUUUGCUUUAGCCAAAGCUUAUAAGGCACAAUCGGAAGAAAUCAAGACCUCUAGCCGUUCUUGGACAAAGUGGUAACCCUCAUCUACUCACACCCACCAAACCACGAUUACUGCCUCCCCACAUCCUACAUCAUAUAAAACCCCAACAACAACUCCUCUUCCUAGUUUGUCAGCCACUAAACAAUCACCUCAACCCCCAUUAUUGGCUGCUCCCACCUUGCCCAUUCGUUGAUUAACCCCAGCAGAGUUAAGAGAGAAAAGAGAAAAAGGGCUUUGUUACAACUGGGACAAAAAAUAUAGCGCUACACAUCGCUGUUGUAGCAAGUUUUUGUUAUUAAUGGGUACUGAUGAUGAAGAUGAUGAGCUGAGUGAAGAUGCUUUUAUUCAUGAACAACCAGACGAAGUAGUCACAGCUGACAUAUCCAGUUUGAAUGCCUUGGUUGGGCAAACUAAUCCACGAUCUUUAAGGGUGCUGGGCACCGUUGCCAGCUAUCAGUUUCAUGUGUUAAUUGACAGUGGCAGUACUCACAAUUUUCUUAAGUCGCCAUUGGUUGAAUGCCUUGGCCUUUCCGUUCAAGCUAUAACUCCUUUUCGAGUUUACAUUGGCAAUGGCGAUUUUCUUACUUCUCGAUUUCUCUGCCCUAAGGUGCCUAUCAAUAUGCAGGGGCAUGAAUUUCUUUUGGAUUUCUUCCUUUUGCCAAUCGAAGGCCCUAAUGUUGUCCUUGGGAUUCAAUGGUUACAAAGCUUGGGAAGAAUUUCUACGAAUUACUCCAAGAUGACGAUGGAGUUUCAGUGGGACGGAAAAUCUGUCAUUUUACGUGGAGACCCAAUUCCAAACCCGAAUUUAAUCUCUUUUAACCAGUUUCAUGCCUUGCUAUCCAACUCCAAAAUCGACAACUUAUUUGAACUUCAUUCUUUACCAACUGAACCAUCAGCAACUCACACAUCUACCAACACAUUGCCGGAUAAUGACUUAGCAUUUCCGAGGUCGUUGCUUGAACCUAUUACUACUCUCCUUAAAAAAAUUAAGCCAUUAUUUGCUCCACCCACUGGUCUUCCCCUUCAACGGUUAUUUGAUCACAAAAUACACCUUAUUCCCAAUUCCAAACUAGUCAACGUUCGCCCAUAUCGGUAUCCUUAUUUUCAGAAAACCGAAAUGGAGAAAUUGGUGAGAGAAAUGUUAAAUCAAGGCAUCAUAAAACCCAGCCAAAGCCCGUUUUCUUCGCCGGUAAUGCUAGUAAAGAAAAAUGAUGGCUCAUACAGAUUCUGUGUGGAUUACCGCACUGUGAAUGCGGUAACGAUGAAGGACAAAUUUCCCAUCCCCACCAUUGAUGAACUGUUUGACGAACUUGGCGGUGCUCAGAUUUUCCGUAAACUUGAUCUAAGAGCCGGUUAUCACCAAAUAAGAGUUCAUAAGAGGGAUACUUAUAAAACAGCGUUUCGCACGCAUGAAGGACACUACGAGUUUCUUGUUAUGCCGUUCGGUUUGACCAACGCGCCGUCCAUUUUUCAAGCAACAAUGAACCAACUAUUUGCUUCCUUUUUACACAAAUUUGUUGUUGUCUUUUUUGAUGAUAUAUUGGUAUAUAGUGCAUCAUUGGUUGAUCAUGUGUAUCAUUUGGAACAGGUCAUGAGUUGUUUAUACACAUCUCAAUUUUAUGUCAAACUCUCCAAAUGUUUAUUUUGUUAGGAAUCAAUUGAUUACUUAGGCCAUAUUGUGUCACCUCGAGGAGUGCAUGCUGAUCCGUAAAAGAUCACAACCAUGGUAGAUUGGCCCUUGCCUAAAUCAGUGAAGCAAUUGAGAGGGUUCUUGGGGCUGACAGGGUACUACUGACGUUUUAUUCAAGGCUAUACAACCAUCGCAGCUCCUCUCACUAAGUUGCUUUGUAAGGAGGCUUUUCAUUGGAAUCUAGCAGCUACUCAAGCUUUUCAAGCAUUAAAGAAGGCUCUUGUGGAAGCCCCUGUACUUCACUUGCCGAAUUUUGCCUUGGAGUUUGUCAUUGAGACUGAUGCUUCUAAUGUCGGGAUCGGCGCUGUGCUAAUGCAAGCCGGGCAUCCUCUAUCUUAUUUUAGCAAAAAGUUGGGUCCUCGAAUGUGUGCAUCCUCGACAUAUUUGAAGGAAUUAUAUGCUAUUGUAGCUGCAGUUCAAAAAUGGUGUCAAUACCUCCUUGGCAGAUUUUUCCUUAUACGCACUAACCAUAAAAGCAUAAAUGAAUUGUUUCAACAAGUUAUUCACACACCAGAGCAGCAAUUUUACAUUCGCAAGUUGAUGGGUUAUCAAUUCAGAAUCGAUUAUAAAGCUGGUAACUUCAAUAAAGCUGCUAAUGCUUUAUCGCGAAUUCAUGAAGACAUCGUGACUGAAGAACCCAAACCAACAGCUCUCGGUUUGUCGUUUGUAAGCCAACCUUCUAGUGAACUAUUGACAGCUCUGCACAAGGAAAAUUGCUCUCUUCCUGAUAUAAAACAACUCCAUCAGAGGUAUGCAGCCGGUUCACUUUCUUCUGACUUCUCAGUUCAAGAGGGGUUCCUACUAUUUCGAUAUCGAUAUUAUCUCAGCCCCAACUCAUCAUUAAAAGUCGUGCUACUCAAAGAGUUUCAUGAGACACCUAUGGUAGGACAUGCUGGUAUUAAAAAGACAUUGGUACAUCUUUCAUCGACUGUCUUUUGGCCUAAGAUGAGGAAAGAUGUUGAGCAACAUGUAGCCGCUUCCCUUGUUUGCCAGCAAAUUAAAUACUCAACUCAAGCGCCGGCAGGUCUAUUACAACCUUUGCCUGUUCCUUCAUUAGUUUGGGAUGAGUUAACCAUGGAUUUCAUUACAGAGCUGCCACUUUCGAGAGGAUUUGAAGUAAUUCUGGUUGUUGUGGAUCGUUUAUCAAAGUCAGCUCACUUUGGAGCCUUGCCUUCUCAAUUUACUACCAUCAAAACAGCAGCUUUAUUUACUGACAUGGUUGUAAAAUUACAUGGAUUUCCUAGCUCUAUAAUUUCAGAUCGUGAUCCUCUUCCUUCUAACGUGAAAAUAUCUACCGUGUCUCUUCUCUUCUCAAAUUCUUUCUUUUUUCUUAAAAAUCUGUCCACAUCUUUGCGAACUUUUUAGCAAUUAUUUUGGUGAUAUAUUAAGAAAUAACUUCUUAGGUUGUUUCUCUUAUUUAUGAUGUGGUUAUAUAGAUGAUCUGCAUGCGCUGAGAUAUCCAAUUGUAGAAGUUACUAUAGAGUUGGCACUCAGAUUAUUUGAUUCAGUUGUUUGAUGAUUUCUUCAUUAAUCUAGGAGCCUUAAUAAAGAAGUUUUAAAAAUGUUGAAGUGAUAUAUGUAAAUGGCUUGCUAUUCAUCACUUUGGUAUGAUCCUAAUUGAAGAUGUUUAACAUUCUAAUAAUCCACAAAAUAUAUAUACUUUUACUUAUGUACAUAAAUACGAUCUCAAAUUUUACAAUAAACCUGGAAAAAAUGGAAUUCCUGUUGAAGGAAUCCAUUUAUCGCCUGAAAUGAAUUUUUUUACUGUGAAGUUUUCAGCUUCCAAGCGCUUGAGUAUUCUAUAUCCUUUCCAACGGAUCCUACCAGUAGUAUUAGAGCCAGGUCCUCUAUUAUUGUAUUCAGCAUAGUAAAUGGUGUCCACGCUCUGUCCUUGCCAUUCAAGCCAACCCUCAGGGUCUAUUAUUUCAUCAAGAAAAGUUUGCAAGAUAACUGUUCUUGAAUAAUUUCUCCACGGUCGUCCCAGGUAUGUCUUGAUUGAUGUUCUGUCCUUAGGGAAGUCUUCUGCGGCAGUUAUGGUGCAAUUAUGAAUGAUUAUGCCUCCAUUUCCCUCAGGUUCUUCUCUUCCUUCGGCUGUGAUUGUCUUUACAUUCCCACCCAAGAAACGAACGUAGAUAUUACAAUUUUGGAACACUGCACUUGCAUCUCCGAAUAUAAAAUCUAUUGUACCAUAGAUAUCACACUCUCGAUAGAACUGUUUAUUUCUUCCAGCAUAAAGAGUGUCCUGAUACCCAACAAACUUGCACCGGUAGAAGGCAGAAUCUACUUCACUCAGUAAUGCUACUGCCUGGCCUGUUUCCUGGUCUGGUCCGGCUGUGUUCUCAAACGUUAUAUUCAUUGCCACAAAUCCAGGCCCUUUAAUCGCUGCAUUAAUUUGAAAAAAAAUGAUUAAUAGAUGUUAGAAUCUAACAAGACCAGGUUUACUGAUCUUGUUUUUCUUUGUUGGUAAUUUAAUGCAUAUGUACUACAAUUCAUAAGGAGAAAAAGAAGAGAAUAAAAUUGCAUAGCUGAUCUCUCACCAACUGUAGCAGUCUGGUAAGUUGAUAAAUGACCAUUCCCGUGGCUUUUAUUCCCGGAAAUGAUUGUGUUGUUGAUUCCAUUGCCAAUUAACACCAAAUUCGUUUUCUCUCUGCCAACAACAACAUAUUUAGUGUAGUUACCUUCUUUAAUUUUUAUAUAAUAGGGUUUUCGACUGAAUGAAGGAGCAGCCAAGAUAGCAUCUGAAAUUUUUGUGUAGUUGCCUGAGCUAUCUUGUGCCACAAUCACAUCAAUUCUUUGUGUAAUUUUUCCUUGAGACAUAUGGCAACAGAGAGUUAAAAGGAUUAUAAUUAGCCACGCCAUAUAUUAAUCUCCUCAAUUGUCUGCAGCAAAUGUUUCCCAAGUUUAGUUGCACUAGUGCCAAUACAAAUUAAAGUAGUGCUACAUAAAAUGAACAGCCAUGCAUAUAUUAAUUAAAAACGUAAAAAUAAAAUAAAAACAAAGAACUACGUGGUCCAGAUUUUAUAUAUAUAUAUAGAAAAGGAAUUCGGGACAUUAAAUAUCUUAUACCCAUAAAUAUUGUAGUUGACAGAGCAUGUCUUCGUUCAUGGUUCAUGUUAUAACAAACGAAAAUUAUAAGCAGUACAUCUUAAAACUUUCUUGUAUUAAAAAUAUAAUAAAAAUUUAAAAUUUUCGAUUCUACACCUAUACUACGUAAAGUGUAUUAUUUUUUCCUUUUGUCAAAUUUUUAACAUAAUAUAAAUAUAUAAAAUAACUAUUUUACUCUUAAAUUUAAGCAUAUUUUUUAACUUUUCAUCAUAAAUAAUAAAAUAAAAUUAAAAGAACAAAAAUAAUCAAAACCCAACUAAUUAAUAAUCGCCCAGGUGGUGUUACCAAAUCUGCCAGCAGGUUUGAUCAGGAACUCACAGGCCUCAAUACCUUCCACCAUAGCCUUGUCUUGUUUUUUUUUUUAAAAAAAAUAAAUAUAAACAUUAAAAAAAAAAAAACCCAUCACCAUCAUUUUAUAAUACAAAUCUAGAAAAAAAAUUUCUUAAAUGGUAAAAAAAAACCAUCAACUUGUUACCGAAAUGCAUUUAUUCACAGACGACAUCAACCCCGCCGGCUACCAGCAUCAUCAAAAAACUAGCAUGCGCGACAAAGCAAGCACACGGAGGAAAGAUGUGCGUGGGAAAGAAAGGGAGGAAAUUGUGGUGGUUCCGAUGAGAGAAAGAAAGGGUGGGGCAUAUAGGAAAGAAGGAAAACAAUUUUAUUUACAAUUUACCUCAAAAACAACUUUAAAUAUAAGCAAAUACGGAGAAGUACAUAUAAAAGAGUGAGCAUAUAGAAAAGAAAGAAAAAAAAUAGAGAAAUAAAAGAAAAAAUUAUAUAAAAAUUAAAAUUAAGAUGGAUCAAUAGUUUCUUUUGUUGAUGUAAAAAAUUAUCCGAAAAUGAAAAUAAAACAAAUGAUAUAUGGUGAUGGGGGAGUAAAAUUACUGAACUCCAUUGCAAUCAUAAGAGAAUUCAGUGGCAAGACAUAAUGGCAUAGAAGGUAUAAAAGAUACCAACCGUGACUGAGCAAAUCACUGAACAGUUUCUGAAUUAUCAUGCGUGGGUGGAUACUGGAUACAAAAAUUAAAAUUAAAAUCUGCAAGAAACUCGUUCUGUGAAGUGAAUCUGGUGUAGCUAUUAUGCCUGAUAUUGGUGAGGAGAUGUAUCAUAUAACUAGGUCCAACUUAGGCUUCUUUAUUUAUAGACCAAAAGAAGAGUUGAGCUGUUCAUCAAACCCUUAUUUUUAUUUAGGGUGGGACUAUUUGCACUCUAACAUAUACUUUGCACACUCUAAUUUUAGUCAACUUUUAUAUUAUUAAAAUAAUCUUAAUAUAAUUUAUUGAAUGAGUGUGUAGAGUAAUAGAGUGUUCAAAGUAAAUUUUUGACGCAAAAAAUGGUACCUGUUUUAUUUAUAAUUUAGAUUUACAUAUUUUGUCACAUAAAUCACACACUCAUUCCUCAUCGNNNNNNNNNNNNNNNNNNNNNNNNNNNNNNNNNNNNNNNNNNNNNNNNNNNNNNNNNNNNNNNNNNNNNNNNNNNNNNNNNNNNNNNNNNNNNNNNNNNNNNNNNNNNNNNNNNNNNNNNNNNNNNNNNNNNNNNNNNNNNNNNNNNNNNNNNNNNNNNNNNNNNNNNNNNNNNNNNNNNNNNNNNNNNNNNNNNNNNNNNNNNNNNNNNNNNNNNNNNNNNNNNNNNNNNNNNNNNNNNNNNNNNNNNNNNNNNNNNNNNNNNNNAUUAUUGAAAGUUUAUAAUUACAUUAGUAAUUUUUAGGAUUUUUUCAAAUUCAAAAAAUAAUGUAGAAUACGAAGAUAGUAAAAUUGCAAAAAAUGAAUAGGCUUGAUGAUAAUUUUCUUACAAAACAUAAUAAACACUUUGAGCAAAUAAAAUAGAGGACUAUCGAUAUACAAUAAUUAUAAAAAGUAAUAUAUUUUCCUAAAAUAGUGGAUAAGAUUUUCUUCCAAGCGGCUGAUUUAAUAAAUACUAAGUGAAGAGUUUUAAAAAUUUCAAAACAAGAUCAUAUAAAUUUGGCAAAGGGAAUGAUUUUAAGAGUUUGAAAUGUGUUUAAGAAAAUACAAAAUAAGAAAAUAUUCACAUAUUUAAUAAAUUUAGUGGCUUCUGCGUCAGAGAAAUUGAGGAUAUGGAAUCAAAGUAAAGUUAACAUAUUUAGGGAAUUUUAACCUAAAAUAAUUUUUGAAUAACUUGGGCACCCAAAACAUCCUAAAUUAAUCAGGGUGCAUUGUUUGCUUGGAGAUAUUUUUAUAAUCAAAUUAAUGCAUCGAAAAAUACAUUAGAAAGGAAUACCUAAGAUGAUAGUUUUAGUAACCAAAAAGAAAGAUAAAGGUACAUUGCUUAAGUAUGAGUCAAUUAUACGUUCAAUGUAUACGUAUAACAUAGAGUUGAGUUUUCAAAAUGUUGGUAAUUGUACUACUUUACUACUAAUAUAGAUACUAUCCUCUCGGUAUUUAUAAUCAGAGAGGUGCUGGCGCAUCUUUGAAAUGUUUCAACUGUAUAAUGCCAUUAUAUAAUGUAAUAACUUUUUCAUACUUUAACAAAGUCUAAUAUCCUAAAUUAAUGUAAUAAACAUCAAUUUACUGUUAUCUUACUUGAUAAAUUAGAAAAAUCAUGAAGUUUUUAUUUAAUUUGAACCGCACGCUCAAUUUGAAAGCUAAAAUUAUGGAAAGGAGUGCCCCACACGGUACAUGUUGAAGAGAGAGAAUGCAUUGAUUUAAUUGACUCGCGUCAACUUUAUACACUAAAUAAUCGCUCUUUCCAGGAGAUUAUUGCUCUAUUAAUUCUUCGCUUUUUUUUUCCCUGUUUUUCUUUUCCAUUAACUAACUUUGUUACGUAGACGUCGAAAGGUUUCUACUUUCAAUCGGAAUUUCUCACAAAAGGCUUGUACUUUCAAUCGAAAUUUCAAAAGCAUUUCUUAAAAACGUGGCCAAAUUUUUUCUUUAAAAAAAAAAAAGGGCCGCGGAGGAGAUAUUUUUGGAUAUGUAGACAGCUAAAAUUAGCAUCUUUAUUCUUAAGCUUAAAGCAUUAAUUACAAAUGCGAUGGCAGUUGCCGGAUCCACACAUUUUCAGGGCAUUUUUGAAGACAUUAUUCAGCGCAAUCACCUUUGUUUUGACAAAGUCCAGGAAAAUCAAUGCAUCUACAAUAAUCACGAUAACAAAAAUUUUUGCAGAUCCUCAUCGCCAACACACAUAAGAUAUGCGCCUCCUAGAAUGAUAACAACAGACUUAAUUUCAGAUAACCAAGCGAUAGAUGCAUCUACAAUACAGCGGCUAAUCUGUUAUAUAUACUCCAAGAAUCUCGUAUGCUGUAGGUAACAUGUCAUAAGCCAAGAGUAUAACAAAAAAUUUAGAGUUUUCAUUAGAAAUGUGCUCACUAAUACUAUUAAAUAUGCAAAAUACAUUUUAAUAAGUACAAAUGGAAGCUUUUAAAUACGAACUUCUGUACAUUUUAAAGUGUUGUUUAUUUCUAAAUUCACAUUUUAAAUACACUAACUUACGCCAAAAAAAAAAAAGAUUAAUGUAUUUUAUGGGAUGGGAAAGAGACUAACGAGAUUAUUGCACAAGAUAAGAAUGAUCAGGACUGAGGUCUUGAAAGAAGUUGUUUCAUCCAUGUUUACAUAAUAAUGGCCUUGGGGCUUUGAUUUACAGUUACAGAGAAAGUGGGGUCUCUGUAAUGGGCCAGUGGCCCAUGGGCACUUAUAAUUUUAUAUCCAAACCUUUGAGACGAUUAAGCUAGGUGCAAUUAAUACAAAUGAUGGCGAUAUCUUCUGGCCCAAUGUGAGAUUAGAAUGUCAGCUAAGCAAUUGCAUCAUUCACUAGUUAUCAUAACUUUGCAGUUAAUAAUGGCAAAAAAGUCUGGUUAAAAGUCAUAAAUACACGGUUAAUGACGGCCAACAAAUCCAGUCAAUGAAUGCACAAUAUCCGUAUGAAUAUCCAAGUUUGUGCUCUUUGUUGUAGUACAUAUUCUAAUAACUGUUUGCUUCCUCUCAUUAUUAGUCCUUGGGGUGGGGGGAAAAAAACUCUAUGGUCUCACUUGAAUUAUCCAUAGAUUUUCACUUGAAUUAUCCAUAGAUUUUCCUAAUUUCUUUGUUUUAAUAUCUCGUUAUUAGUCCUUGUUGCAAUGCACAUCUUCAGCCUGAAUUUGCCCUUUGUCUCUUAAUUGAUUUCUUGAAGCAAUUUAUGAUAUAUGAAGCAAUCGCUAACAAAAUGAAUUAAUGUUAUGCUUUGCACCCACUGACAUUCAUUAUCAAGCACCCACACCUAUAUAGAAGCAUGUAAUCAUAUAUAUUCACUCCAUAGACUUUAAUUGUAAACAUCUGAAGCAGUUGGGGGUUCAUAAUCAUGACCAUCUUAAGCCUGAAUGCGACAAGGUCUUCUAAUUGAUUUUCUAAAAUACAAUAUCACCUUGAUUGUAAGGGGAAUCAUGUGCCCAAGAAAUAGAGUUCCCCCCAAUGCAAAACCAUACGUAAGAUAAAAUAUAUGGAGCAGAUGGAAGCAAUGAAACGUAUAUGGUCUAGCAGGAAAUCUAUAGAGGCCAUGUAAGUCAUUCCCUUUGCUGAGAUUGCAACCCACAUUGUCCCCAUCAAAACCCACAUAAAAAUCCUACGCUUCAGUAGUGGCAAGCCGCUCAUGAGCAGUAGUAUAAUGCUCAGAGAAGCCAGAAAACCAGUGGUGUUGAACAAUAAAAAGCAAGUGUAACGAUGUGUAGUUGCUGAUGUCGGCAAGAAGAAGCAGAAGUGUCAUGCCAAGGACUAUUUAGGAGGGUCCGCACCAGCUUGGAAAGCCAUGCAGCAAUCAGUGAUGCCACCACCAUUAUGGCAUUUCGCAUUUUUUCCAACCAAUCAUCUUCCAGCUUUUUAGUUGAAUUUUCUAACCCUUUACCUUGUUGAUUUUGGCUAUUACUUUCAAGGGAUAUUAAGCUGUUAGUCUGUUCAUUUGCUGACAAUUGAACAUCCUUUGCUCUAUAUGCCCCAGCACGUCGAAUCAACUCCCCAAUCUCCCAAUCUUUUAUGUCUCUUUUGCUUUGUGCUAGUACAUCCAAUGCUGUGAAGCCAUUUGCAUUAAGAGCAUUCGCAUCUAUCAUAAUUAGUUGUCGAAAACCUUAUGACCUGCAUAUUUGAUUAUUAGUAUAUGAUAAAAAGAAAGCAUAAAUUUCAAUUUAUAUACGCCCACCUAGAAUGACAAUAUUCAACUAACUCUACAAGGAUCAGAAAACAUAACUUUACUCCAUUCGUCGUUAAGAAGAUAAAAAGAAUUUCAUCAACACGCUCUCAUUUUGCUCUCACCUUUGAACAUGAAAAUAGUAGUAAAUUGAUAAUUUCAUAUCUUGCAAGUAUAUAAAAGAUUGUCAUUUUAGUCGGGGUAAAUUAAACUAUACCCAAAUACAAAUGUUCAUUAAAAUAAAUGAGUGCCUAAAAUGUGAUCUGCAUUAGAUUUCUAAACUUGUUAUUUGAAAAGCAAGCCAAAAUUGACCUUCUAAAGCAAUUCUUGCUUGCUACAAAUCAAAUUAUUCGGAACUGGUGGAGAACUUAAUUCAUUAGAAAAACUCUUAAGAUUGUGAUUGAUUUGAACUUGAAGAUUUUUCACCUAUAAGUAUAUUUAUUUCUUUCGCAGCACAAACAAAUUAUGUACUUCACAAAUGUGAAUAAAACAGUACCUCAAUUUGUUUACCUGCAACUGCGAGCUGCAAGAUAGUCAUGCCAUAAUCAUCCUCAGGAUUCAAAACUUGAGGAUCAUCCAUAUAAUCGAAAAAAAAAUUCAGUGCCUCCAGCUGAUCGUGUUUCACACACAGAUUUAAGAUGGUCUCACCCCAUCAUCGUGGCUGAAGCUGCAAGCGGUCAGGUUCUGAACAACUCUCCCAAGGGCCAAGGCAUCAAUCCGUCCUUUCAUGGCUGCCAAAUGAAGAGGAUUUCUUCCAUCCAGGUCACGAGCAAAACACAUGGCAGGAUUAACUUGUAAAACUGAAUUCUGACGUUUGCCUAAAUAAGCUGCUGAGUAUCCUCAGCCUGAUUACAUGGAUAAUUGAAACAACUUUACUAAAGUUUAAUCCUAACAGUGUCAAAACAGUGUGAAAGAUGAUAUAGUUGAUAACAAAAACAUGAGGAGUUUCUUGGCAAAAGCAUGGGCAGCCAUCAAUUCCGAAAAUUUCCCAGCAGCAGCUUAAUGCAAUCAUACAUACAGCUGUCGCUUGAUAGGACCAAAAGAAAAAGAAGCUAACAAUGUCCAACCGUGAAAAUUCCUUUCUUGUGUUUUGUUUCUGUUUGAUCUUGUAACAGAUGGAAGUAAAAUUUCCUGAUUCAGAUAAAUCAGCCAAAACACAUACUCUGUAGAAUUAACUGAGUUCAAGCUUUCACUAAAAAGCUUCUCUUCUCCCUACUCCUGCUUGCUGCCUGCUCACAUGUACAUUUAGCACAAAGGAAAUUGGAGAAUUUUUCAAUCAACUGGACAAAAGCCGAAUUAAUGGAGAAUUGUGAAUCAGGCGCUGGUUCAAAGAAGGCGGAAAAAACUGCUAAUAAUUUACCUCCUUUUGCAUUAAUCCCCAAUCUAGCACCAUUCUCACUCUUCAUCACUUGCUCUGCAAUUGUCAAAAAUGAUUCGGUUCAAAAUUAUCCUACAUUCAAUGACAGACAAAAAGGAGAGAUUACCAUCAUUACACCCAUACCAAAAAUUUAGAAACUGUUGCAUAUAUUCCUAAUAUAGAAUUUGAUUAAAAAUAGUUUAUGGUCCUUAAUUAGAUAGCAGAUAACAAAAAUGCAGAAGAAGAAAUUACCUUUGGCUGAGGAUGAUCAUAAUUGCAGUGCAACUGGUUGAGAAUUUUGUCAAUUGCUGCCAUGAAAUGGUUUCAUUUCCUUUGGGUUCUGUCAUGGGCAAUCCUUCCACUAGUAAGCUUCUCAUUUCAUUUCCUGCCCUGCUUCCUGCAUCAUAUGAUACAUUAGAUGACAAUACAUGUAAUCUGUGGCAAAUUGAGCUUCAGUCUUUUAUUGUCCUGAGCUCGAAAGGUUAUUACCCAACUCCAAAGCCAAACAAAAUGUAGGUCACUUGACCUGCAAAAGAAUUGCUUGUAUUGCACUAAUAAUCUUUACAGUAACGUCAUCAUAUCACAAAUUAAAAAUUGUAUAUUCAUAGGAUAUGAAAAUCAGAAUAUUAGAAAAUAUGUAUUUCCAGAUUUUGAUUCAAAAUGAAAUUUAUGCUUCUUAAUUAGAUUAAAAAUAACAGCAAAGCAAAUCAAAGUAAGAGAAGAAAUUACUUGUCAACGCCCAAUCUCAAGGUUGGGAAUGUGAGAUAUCUUAGGCCAGUCUUCUCCUUCCCCCCUUUUGUAACGUUCUACCAGAAUAUCACAAUCCCACCCAAUGCGCAAUUCCUUCAAUGUUGUCCUUUGAUGGAUGUGGUCGGGCAGUGCCUUUAAUUUGGGGCAACUGAAAACUUCCAAGGAAGAAAGACAUGGCAUCAUGUUGAUGAAGGCUGGCAUGAUGUUGAUGAAGGCGUCUCCCGUUCUUAUAAUCCCAUAAUCCCACUCGUCCAAUUCCUCCAAUCUCCCUUGAUCCCUUGUGCAGAAAAUUGUCAAUAAUGGCAAUACAUGCAAUCUGUGGCAAAUUAAGCUUCGUUUUUUUGUUGUCCUGACCUCGAAAGGUUAUUGUUCAACUCCAAAGCCAAACUAAAUGUAGGUCACUUGUCCUGCAAAAGAAUUACUCAUAUUGCAUUAAUAAUCUUUUACAGUAACGUUACCUAUCUCACAAAUUAAAAAUCGUAGGAUGUGAAAUCAGAAUUUUAGAAAGUAUGUAUUGCAGAUUUCUGAUAUAGAGUUUGAUUCAAAAUGCUAUUUACGCAAUUACGCUUCUUAAUUAGAUUAAAAACAACAAAGCAAAUCAGAAUAAGAGAAGAAAUUACUUGUCAAUGCCAAAUCUCAAAUGCGCAAAUAAUUAAUAUAUAUGUUGGGAAUGUGUGAUAUCUUAGGCCAAUCUUCCCCCUCCCCCUUGCGGUAACGUUCUUCCAGAAGGUCACACCCCCAAAUGCUCAAUCCCUUCAAUGUUGUCGUUUGAUGAAUGUGGUCGGGCAGUGCCUUUAAUUUGGGGCAAACAGCAAUUGCCAAGGAAGAAAGACGUGGCAUGAUGUCGAUGAAGGGGUGUCCCGUUCUUGUAAUCCCAUAAUCCCACUCCUCCAAUUCCGGCAAAUCCUCAAUGAAAAGUGAUUGCAAUUUGGGGAAGGCAAUAAUAACCGAUGAAGAUGAAGAUGAGUCAUGAUGAUCACUUUCUAUCCCCAAAAUUUCAUUACCCACUCUUUUCACACUCUUCAUGUCCGAUAUAUAGAGCUUUUCAAGGGAUGGCAAUUUUCCCAAAGGAGGCAGCUGCUCACAAUUUUCGCACAAAUGGAGAUUUAAACUCCUUAGAUUGGUUAAUGANNNNNNNNNNNNNNNNNNNNNNNNNNNNNNNNNNNNNNNNNNNNNNNNNNNNNNNNNNNNNNNNNNNNNNNNNNNNNNNNNNNNNNNNNNNNNNNNNNNNCGCUUUAGGCCUUAACAAGGCCCGCACGGAUUUGUUCUUGGGGCGCCCAUACACUCCAAAACGCAUCUUGCCAAUUAAGGUGUGGAUCACCCCUUAUAAACCCAGCAUCUCUCCCGUGCUUUGCCGAUGUGGGAUUCGCCUAGGGUGUUACAUACACCCCCCCUUGGGGACUCAGCGUCCUUGCUGAGGUUUGCUCCACCAUCGCUCAAGAGGACACGCGGAGCCGCUUUGAUACCACAAUGUCAUGACCCAACCCAGACCUGACAAGAUAUUGUCCGCUUUGGGCCUUAACAAGGCCCACACGGAUUUGUUCUUGGGGCACCCAUACACCCCAAAACGCGUCUUGCCAAUUAAGGUGUGGAUCACCCCUUAUAAACCCAGCAUCUCUCCCGUGCUUUGCCGAUGUGGGAUUCGCCUAGGGUGUUACAUGAUCCACGCUAAAAUCCACGCAAAUAGUAUCAUAUUAAUUGGUAAAUCAAUUAUAAGCAAAAGUAUAAGACUAAGAGAAGCAAGGAAACCUAUUGUUUGGGAGAAAUACGUCGACGAGACCAGGCACGAUGAGCAGAUAUCUGAUGGCAGAGUUCUGCGAACCGGUGUGUUCCGUAAAAGCCUGGUGCGCGGGGGAACAGGAGCAGAAAUAUCCUGCUCGUCCACGGGCACGUCAUCCGCGAGGUAAAUUUCCUAUAAGAGGCAUAAGGCCAUUCCGGCUAGAGGUCGAGAGGCGAGGAGACCCGGUCGAUGGCAGUUGGCAAGGCAUACUCUCCAGCCCGAGAAUCUAGGCACGACAGCCACGCUUUCCCCAGAACCGUGGCGUAACACGCAAGAUCCCACGUUUGCCCAUAACGCAGCAUAACGCAGCAGUCGGAGUCCCAUACCGUCCCCCAAAAAAGCGGAAACAAGAUCUCACAAAACCACGACACCACGCUUUCCCCAGAACCGUGGCGUAACACGCAAGAUCCCACAUUUGCCCAUAACGCGGCAGUCAGAGCCCCAUACCGUCUCGAAGAAAGCGGAAAACUGGGAUUCAGAGGAAGCCUAUAAAAAGGUAGCCAACGAAGGUAACUGGGUUAGCAUUUUUGAGAUUAGAAAAGAAAUUCUAAAAGAGAGAAAACAACCUAACAGCCAUAAGAUUUGUGGCAAGUGUUCCCCGAACCUUCAUAUCUGACUUGAGCGUCGGAGGGUUUGCGCCGGGAAAACAACCGGCGUACUCUGACCUAUCUGUGUGCGCAGAAACCUCUGGAGAAGAAGCCUUGCGAGGAGACCCCCUGGUCGUGAUGAAGUUGAUCGAGCAGAGAUCCUGAUCGUAGAACGAGGAGAACCGGAAUCUCGCAUCAACACCUAUAGUGUUCCAAACUACAAAAGAAGAAGCGGCUAGCUCAGGGCUCUGAGGAGGGUCCACCGCUGCUUGAAAACCCAUCGUAGAAAUCACUGAUGCUACAACCAUUGCUGCAUUACGCUUUUUUUCCAACCAAUCGUCUAAAUUCCAAGGAGUUCCUUUUAAAUCUUUUUUACCUUCAUGCUUUUGAUUAUUUUCAUCGGAUGUUACGCUGUUGGUCUGUGUGACGGCAAGUUCAUUUACUGGCAGCUGCAGAUCCUUUGCACUAAUUGCUCCAGCACGUCGAAGUAAUUCCCCAGUAUCCCAAUCUUUUAUGUCCCUUUUGCUUUGUGCUAGGAUAUCCCAUGCCGUGAAGCCAUUAGCAGUAACAGUAUUCACUUCGAUUGCAGUACUGGUUGUCAAAAACUUGAUGGCCUGCAUGGAUGUUAAUAUUAACCAAUUCCUAGAGAAACAUUUUUGUGUGUAUCGAGAACCCUACUUUUAUAUGUGAUAUGAGUGAUCGAUACCUCAAUUUGUUUAUCAGCAACUGCAAGGUGCAAGAUGGUCAUGCCAUAAUCAUCCUUGGCAUUCAAAAGUUCAAAGUCUCCCAUAUUUUCCAAUAAAACUUCAGUGCUUCCAACUGAUUGUGUUUCACACACAAAUGUAAGAUGGUCUCACCCCAGAUCAGACGGGUAGAAGCAGCAUCCGGUUUUGCUCUGACCAGCUCUUCCAAGACAUCAAUAUGGCCUCUCAUGGCUGCCAGAUGAAGAGGGUUUCUUCCAUCAACAUCUGUAUCAGAACACUUGUCUGGGAUGACUUGUAACAGUGCCUUUACUAUGCCGACAUAACCUUUCUGUGAUGCUAUGUGAAGAGCUGAUGAUUUCCGCGAGUCUAACUCUUCAGCAAUCCGAGGCUUUUGGGGUAAAAUCUCCUUCGCAAAGUCCUCGUGCCCAAGCAAUGCUGCUACAUGCAGCGGAGUCUCAGAGAGACAAUUCACUGUGGGUCUCUCAAGAAUUAAUGGGUCUUGUUGACGCAAUUCCAACAAGGUAUUCACACUCCCUGCCAUCGCUGCUUCAUAAAGCUUCCUUUCCAUGUUCUCCAUCUUGUGUGAUCUGUGCAAAUAGAUAUUAAAAGACCUGCCUGCUGGUAUUUAUACUUGCAAGAGCUGAGUGCAACCCUUUGAUUAAUGCAGGUGAAAGAGCUGUAAAUAGCUAAGAGAAGUUUGGUUGCACUUUCCAUUCUUCCCGGUGGUGUUUAAAGAGGAUUUGUUUUCAAUUUUUUUUGCCCCCCAGCAAAAAUCUUUAGACCUUUCUAUGUUCACGUAUUUCAAAGGAGUCCCAUGCGGAGAAAAACAGUGAAGAAAAAGUGGAUGCGAGGGAAAUUAUGACAUCAAAAGUUGUGGUUGAUGACAUCAAAACGCGCACAACGCGUUCUCGAAUUUAUAACGGUUAAAUUCGAAUACUGCAUCUGCAAUUAUGCAACGGUUCGUUUACAAAGUGGAUGUGAAUUAUUUGAGGAAGACACGUGUCCUUUUCUCACGGUUUCAGUGCAAUUCAACUCAGUUGAGAAAAUAACCAUCAUCCUUAUUUUUAUUUCAGUGAUGCCAUCCAAAGUCCAACAUGUUGAUUAUUACAAUCGUAUUCGUAUUUCAAAUUCAAAAUACAUCCACAAACUCUGGCUGCUGCCUCUUCUAUCAAUUCUUUUGCAUCAUCUAUCUGUAUAAAUUUGAGUUAAUCCUCCGUUCCUCUAUAUUUGUACAGCUAUCGAACUUGACUCUUUAAUUAUAAAUCUGGAGAUUCAAGUUCAGCUCCAGUUUCUCAGAAGUGUUACUCGCUUAUUCUCGAUAACACAUAUGCAUGAAACAUCGUCUAGAAGGAAAUCUAUAGAGACCAAGUAAGUUAGUACCGUUGCUGUGAUGGCAAACCACGUGUCCCCAUUAGAAUCCACAUGAAAAUCCGACGGUUAAGCGGUAAGCCGCUUAUGAGCAGUAGUAUAAUGCUCAGAGAAGCCAGAAAACCUGUGGUGUUACAAAAUAAAAAGCAAGCGUAACGUUGUGUGGUUGCAUCUAAUUCGAAAGAAGAAGCGUCUUGCCAACGACUGUGAGGAGGGUCCACACCAGCUUGGAAAGUCAUAGUAGCAAUCAGUGAUGCUACCACCAUUAUUGCAUUUCGCAUUUUUUCCAAUCAAUCAUAUCCAUACUUGAGAUGUUUUUUCAAACCUGUUUUACCUUCUUUCUUUUGAUUAUUUCCAUGUGAUGUUAAGCUGUUGGUCUGUGUGAUGGAAACUUUAGUUGCUGGCUGCUGCAUUUCCUUUGCACUAAUUGCUCCAGCACGUCGAAGUAAUUCCCCGAUCUCCCAAUCUUUCAUUUUCCUUUUGCUAUUUGCUAGGAUAUCCCAUGCGGUGAAGCCAUUUGCAUAACAGCAUUCACUUUGAUUGUAGUACUAGCUGUCAAAAACUUGAUGGCCCGCAUAGAUGUUGUUUACACUUAAUAUAAGAAAUUAAGUUUGUUGAUAUUAAUCAAUUCCUAAAGAAACAUCUUUUUGUGUAUUUGCAUUGAGACCAUACUUUUAUAUGUGAUAUGAGUGAUUCCAUACCUCAAUUUGUUUAUCAGCAACUGCAAGGUGCAAGAUGCUCAUGCCGUAAUCAUCCUUGGCAUUCAAAAAUUCAGAGUCAUCCGUAUUUUCCAACAAAACCUUCAGUGCUUCUAGCUGAUUGUGUUUCACACACAAAUGUAAGAUGGUCUCAACCCAGAUGAGAGGGGCAGAAGCAGCGAGUGGUCUUGCUCUGACCAACUCUUCCAAGACAUCUAUCCGGUUUGACUUCUAACGGUGCAUUUACCAUGCCAACAUAACGUUUCUGUGAUGCUAUGUGAAGAGCUGAUGAUUUCCGCGAGUCUAACUCUCCAGCAAUCCCAGGCUUUUGGCGUAAAAUCUCCUUCGCAAAGUCCUUGUGCCUAAGCAAUGCUGCUACAUGCAGAGGAGUUUCAGAGGGACAAUUCAUUGCGGCUCUUUCAAGGAUUAAUCUGUCUUUUUGAAGGAAUUCUAACAAGGAAGUUACACUUCCUGCUAACGCUGCUUCAUAAAGCUUGCUUUCCAUUUUCUCUAUCCUGUGUCACGUGUGCAAAUUUAGCUUACACAUUUUAGAAGACCUGCCUGCUGGUAUUUAUACUUGCAAGAGUUGAAUGCAACCCUUUGAUUAAUGAGAAAGAGCUGUUAUUUAUUCCUUUUUUUUUUUUUAAUUCGAUGUGUGAAUUUCUAUGAAAGGGUCAAGAAAGUACUGAAGCAUAUAAUCAACAUGUUCCUGCUUGGAUUAAAUUUUAUAUGUGAAACUUGAAACAUUCGAUAGAAGCAAGUAACCUGUCCUUAUCGAAUGGGAUAAUAUAUGGCAAAUAAAUAUUUAUUGUAUAGAUAGAUUUGUUAAACUUCGGUAGUCACUAACUUGACUUUAUUAAAAAUGACAGGGUCUCCUAGUUCAAGUUCUCGGAAAAUGCCGUCGGCAUAACAGAAAUACUAUGUUAAUUUAUCGUGAAUGUGUAUGGUCAAACAUGAUUGAAUUUCGAAUAUUUAUUUGACAAGAUUUUGUUGGAUGGUUAGUGGGAGGACAUACAUAACUUAAAAUAAGAGGGGCAUAUGAAAGCAAUGGAUUAGUGUAUGUUAGGAAAGUUAUAGAAACUAUCAUUUUAUUCUGAUCUAAGGUACUGUGGAUGUAUCUUUUAUUGAGAAAGGAUUUGUGUUCACUUUUCUGUCUUCACCUAUUUCUAAAAGGGGGACUCGUUGGUUGAAUACAAGGUUCUCAACAAACUCUUUCUAUUAAUUUUUAAUGGUAUUAAACAAAAAACGACUACAUUUUCUUAUAUCGAUAUUACACUUGUUAUGUACUAUACACAGUCUGUCUUAUGAUUGAAGUCAAUUAGUAUUUUAUGAACAUAUCUACAUUAACAAAGUCGAAAUAUAAUUUUUUUAUCCACCAGAUGUGAUCUUAGUUGAAAGCACAACAAUGGAGAGCGUGAAUUAUAGUCUUUUAUCUAUUUUGUGCAUUAAAAUUUGAUCCAUUUUCUGUAGAUUGAUUGAGCUGUUCUUGAGUCUUCAUUGAGUUCUGGUGGUUUUUUCUGGCCCACCCCCCAACCCAAAAAAAUCUCCAAGAAAGAACCAAAAAUCAUCCCUCACUUUUCAAUAAUUUGGUUCACCUAUUUUCAUCUUCAAAUCUGAACAAUCUUCGAAAAGUUUAGUGAACUAUAUUAUUUGAGCUUGGGGGAGAAGCAGUCGUGCAAUUUGAGUAAUGGUAACCAUGAACAUGGAAAUGCUCACUUUCUUUAAAAAGGAAAAAAAAAAUAUAGCCCAAGAAACGUAGCAAAAGCGCAGAAUAAGAAAUGAAGAACCUUUAGUUGGUAAUAUUGGUACCAAUACACCCAAAAUUCAUUCUUAUGUGACUAUUAAAAUUAAAAAAAAAAAAAAAUUAACAUCCUUGCCAUCAUUCUUGGCGCUCUACCAGAAACAAUGUCUGACGAACAAACAGAAUUCUAACAUUUGCUUUUAUUAAUUACAAGAAAAGGUGACACCUAAUUGGGGGACGUAAUAAGCGUUUACGCCUAAGAACAAGCCAAUAGCAGGCAGAAACCUAUCUUCAAAUCUUGACAUUUGCCUUCAUAAGCGGCUUAGUAUCCUUAACCUGAUAGCGUAGACAACCAAAACAACUUAAAUAAAGAGUAAUCUUAAGAGUUUCAGAAACUGCGAAAAAGAUAAUAGAGAUAAUUAACAAAAACCUGAUGUCAAGGAUUACAGAUUGCUUUCUGAUGUGAUGUGAGUAAAAGUCUUCACGACAGCAGCUGCUUGCUCCAAACAUAAACUUAUCCCCAGCAAUUUAGACAAAAAAAAAUGAGACUCAAAUUUUCCCAAUAGCAGCCAGCAUUGUAAAUAGCAUCUGAAUGCAUAAAUUUUUUAAAAAGGAGCCAACUUAUUCAAACAUAUGCGAAUUGACAUAUAGCCACUAGAAUAUCAUGCCUUUUCAAAUAUGCUGCUUCUUCUAAUCCCCUGCAUUCUUGGCAACUAAUUGGGGGUAGCUCAAGCCUUAAAGCACUUUUAACAUCAUCUGUUUCAACGUAACAAUUAAACAUAGCAACUAUUCACUGAAAAUCGAUUCGGGUAUCAAGUUGAAAUGAAAGAAAGAUGGGGAUUUGGUCAUUAUGCAUUCAUGAUUUAUCACCUUUUGCUCCUCAUUGUCUUCAAUAAAUAUGAAUACUAUUGACAUUGCUCUGUUCCUAGACAUGCAACAAAGAAAUUAAUGGAAACAGAUGGAUCAUGGAAGGGAAGCCACCCCUUUUAAGUUCGCCACUCACAUUCUUCCUAAGUGGCGUGGGAUGUUGUGUGCUCUGUAUAUUCCUUUCACCAUGCUCCUGCUCUGUUAGCACAAAAGAAAUUGGGCGCUCAGUUCAGUAAGUGUACCUUGAAAAGUUAGCACUCGACUCAAAAGCCUAAUUAAUGUAAAAUGAAAUCAGCUAGCCAAUUACUUUAUAGAAGAAACAAGUAAACAAAGAUCACCCAAACAUCGCACCUACUCGCUGUACAUUCUCAUCCUUGCUUUAAUUUGCUGCAUCAAAAGACACAUUUAGCUAAAGAGAUUGGUUAAGAAAUUGUUCAAAUCAAAUUAUCACAGCCACCGCGGCUUCAUUCAUUUUAUUACACUCAUAAAAGAACAUAUUAAAGUUCAAAUUACCUGAGGCAAGUCAUAUUCUCUUGAGUAGACGUUGGCUCUCUGAGAAAUCAAGUCUUCUUGUUUCCCAUUUCUGAAACGUACUCCCGGAAUAGCACAUCCCAAUAUGUACAGUUCCUUCAAUGUCGUCAUUUGAUGAAAGUGGUCGGGCAAUGCCUUUAAUUUGGGGCAGCUUAUAAUUGCCAAGUAUGAAAGACAUGGCAUGAUGGAGGUGCUUCCCAUUCCUGUGAUUCCAUAAUCCCACUCUUCAAAUUCCUCCAUCCAGUAAAACGUCAGUGAUUUCAAUUUGGGGAAGGCAAUAACUGAUGAAGACGAAGACGUGUCAUUAUCACUUUCGAUUCCCAAAAAUUCAUUUGCCACUCUUUUCACACUCUUCAAUCCCCAUAUCAUGAGCUUUUCAAGGGAUGACAACUUUCCCAAAGGAGGAAUCUGCUUACACUUUUCACACUUCUCAAGUGUUAAACUCCUUAGAUUGGUUAAUGGCAUCAUCCAGCCGGGGAAAACAGUGUUGCCUCUGUAUAACCCUAUCAAUAAUUCCUUCAAAUUCAGAGGUGGUUGCAAGGCUUCAAGAAGUUGCUGAUCGUCCUCCUCCUUCCUCCUUCCUCCAUCUUCUUCUUCCUUGUCAAACCAAAGUCUCAAACAGGAGAGGUAUUUCAUUUUGUCAAGCUCUAAUCUCUUAGCCUCGCCCACAUCUGUCACAUUUCCCAGUCUACGUAUGCCACAUACAUGGAGGAGUUCCAAGUUUUUAAGAGAUUCAAGCCUACAUGCAUUGCUACCACCAACACCUCCUCCUCCACUCACAUGGAACUCAACCAAGGUCCUAAGACUCGUUAAUCUCCCAAUCCCUACUGGCAUGUGACCUAAGGAAUCAGUUUUGUCAUCCAGUAAAUGCUUCAUAUUCACUAGCUUCCCAAUCCCCUGAGGUAAUUCUUUAAGACCAUAGCAAUCACUAACAUCUAACUUUUGAAGAUUAUAUAACUCACACAACGUCUCAGGAAGUUUCUCUAUUGACUGAUGAGACAAAUUAAGAUACCUUAAAUGCACCAACCUUUUGACAUUUGUAGGAAUCUCUAGAAUCGUAGACUUUGUGUAGAAUAAUUUACUUACUUCUAUUGCCCUUAAGCUCGUCAAUUCCUCGAAUAAUUCUUCUAGGAUGUUACCAUCUAACGACGAAUGGUCAAAAACAACGCCACCAAUUAAGAGGCUACGCAUUCUUUUAAUCCUACAAGUGGAGAUAGGAAAUGGAGCCCCUUCAUGAAUACUUAACAUCAAAUGACAAACCUUCUCACCAAGAGAGUUUAUGGCAGCUGAUUCUUCACUACCACUAACUACUGUCGAUAAACAUUCAUUUUGACUUACAAAUUGGGCAAAAUCGUGUACUAUAUCAUGCAUUUUGCAUUCUAUAAUACGAUUAUCAUCAUCUUUUUUAAACUCUUGAAAGAAAGAGCGAGUGGCUAAGAUGUUAAAAUACUCUUCACCAAUUAUGUUUGUCUCUUCGUCUUGUUCCACACCAAGAUAACCUUGAGCCAUCCAUAACGUAAUUAGUCUCUCUUUCUCUAUAUUGAAGUCUUUUGGAAAGACUGCACAAUAUGAAAAACAUCUUUUUACUCUGGAUGGCAAAUCGUUAUAACUCAACCAUAAAGGGGUUAGAACACCUUUCUCAAUCUCUUCUAUUUUCCACAGCUCACUACUUAAGAUUCUUUGCCACUCUUCUUCAGUUUUUUUAGAGCGCAUGAGACUCCCUAUUGCCUUUGUGGUAAGAGGUAAACCUCUGCACUUGCCUGCAAUCUUUCGCCCAAUUUUUUCUAAUUUUACACAUUCCUCAAUGGGCCGACCAAAAAAUGCUAUCCUAUUAAACAACAGCCAACAUUCCUCUUCAGCUAAUUCCUGAACCGGGAUAAUAUCUGUGGAUCCCAUCAUGAAUGCAACUGACUCCUUACGUGUGGUAACUAAAAUUUUACUUUCAGGGAGACCAUUCUUUAGGCAAUGGUAGAAUGGCUCCCAUUUCAUAUAAUCUCCAUCCCACACAUCAUCUAAGACAAGAAAAAAUCUUUUUCCUGUAAUAGAUUUAGAUAUAGUUUUAAGAAGAGAUUGAAAUUCGCCUAGACCAGAAGAAGAAACAUCUAAAGCUUCAACUAUGGCUCUGGCAAUCCUAAACUCCUCGAAAGCUUCUGAUACACACACCCAUAAAAUUUUGUCAAACUUUCUAUUCACCUCAUCAUUAUUACAAGCUAGUUGUGCAAGAGCGGUUUUCCCUAUGCCUCCCAUACCAACGAUUGAGAUGAUAUGGAGGCCUUUUUGGUGCUCACUACUCUCACACAACAACUUGCUUAUGAGUUCAUUCUUCUCACUAACUCUACCACAUAUCUCCUCCUCAUCAAUGAACGAGGCACUUUGUACUCGCCUUGGUAUCUCACUACUUUUACUCCCACUCUCAAGAAAUUUAAACCUAUCCUUUUGAAUGGCAAUAUCAUCUAGCUUUUCAUUGAUUUCUUUGAUCUUGACUGCAAUGUCAUGACGUAGAAAGACUUGUUUGAAACCAAAUUCCUCUUGUUUGAAACCAAAGCAAGAGGCAGGAAAGCAGAAACAUACCUUCUUUUUCUUAUGAAGAGCAACAAGAGCAUUGUCAUCAACCCCACCCUCAAUUUGCAAUUUGCGUCUUGCUGUGAUCCACUCAUCCAACACAUCUUCAAUGUCGUUGGACACGUACUUCAGCUGUUCCAGCCAAAGUCUGACAGCUUUGUCCUUCACUAGCCUUUCCUCUGCAUCAUCGAGCACAGCUUCAAUGGCUCGAAGGUUGCUGGUAAGCUUGUCUACUUCUUUUUUAACACCGGUCACAAGCUGCGCCUGUUGUUGCAUCUCUUCAGCAGCAAAGGAAAUCAGCAUCUCCAACAGAGGGGAAACGAUGGCAUCAACCAUGGUGAAUAAUUUUUUGAUUAACAAAAAAGAGCAGAGAAAAAUAUUAAUUGUAUAAACAAAUUAUGUUGUGAAAAUGAAUUAAUUCCAGCUUUUUGCAUUCUUAUAUUUACAGUAUCUGCUUUUCUUCUCGACCACGUCAGCAUCUUCCAUUUGCUUUCAAUGGGAGACUUCCACUUUUAUAAACUCAAGAUAAGUAUCGAUACCACUACUGGGAAAAAGUUUGGUUGAUUCCUGCCCUUUCGAUCAAGCUAACUAGUAUUCAUAUUUGGAAAUUUCUUUUCUUUUCUUUUUUUUUAUAUAAAAUUUCUUAUUUUCAAUUUCUUUUAAAUUUAUGGGUCCUAUUUUUUCUUUUAAAUACAUCCUAUAUAUUUUAAUCGAAUAAAAUAUGGUUCAUCCUAAAAUCUAUUAUUAGAACAUAUAAGAGAUUUGCGAUUUGAACUCAUCUUAGCGUUAAUUUAAAAAGUCAGGGCCAUCCACUCUUUGCAACAAAUUAUUGGUAUUAUUUAUACAAUAUUUUAGAUAUAUGUGAUGAUUUUAAUGGAUUAAGAUGAUCAUUCAAUGCAUUAAGGUGAUCAUUAGAAUUGUUAGGUUCUGAUCGAUCCUAAUGCUAUCCCUAGCAAUUCGCAGAUCACCACAGCGUCCAGAAUGAUCUUGAUCAAAGCAAGAAUCCAAAAAGAAUGAAGAAGCAGAAGAUCAAAACCAGAAACAAAUGAUUUUGAACUUGAUUAAGACCCCAAGUUCUUGAAGAAAAAUCAACACUCCCCCUUUAUUCCUUUAUUAGUUCACACCGAAUUGAUUCACAAAGCUGCAGUAUUUACCAGCUGCUUUUCCCUCUGUUUUUCCCGCUCACUCGAGCCAAACCCUGUUUUGGCUGUUCGUCCACGUCAGCUAGGUAAUUACGAAAGCCUCUCUCAAUUAAUUGAAGCUUUUUGAGACAUGCAUGUAACAAGAAUGAUUAAAUAUAAAUUAUUUAAUGGAGAGUUAUCAUAUGACUAAUUUGAUUCUAAUAUGACCAUUGUCCUAAUGAACUAAAACAGUAUCAUGAAGAAUCUUUACUCGGCAAUAACAUUAUAAAACCCCAUGGAGCUCCUUAGGCUGCUAAGACUUCGAAAAAUUCAACACCAACAUCUCAAUUAACAAGAAUCCAUUUAUUAGCCAAAGCCUCUCAUCUCAAUUUCGUUACAUUUAUUUGUGCAUUGCAAUGUAAAAAAAAAAAAAUUCGGAUUAAUUUAGUGGUGUGGUAACUUUUGACGUAAUUAUCCUUUAUAUGAAAUUAUUAUAUUAAUUGUAAUAAAAAUGGGCUUGGACUAUGCAAGUUACAAGUGUGAACUUGCAUUAAUCGCACACUACAAUUGUACAGAAAAUCAUAAACCGCGGCAACCCUUUUUGCACUAUCUUCAUAAAUUCAUUUUGGAUUUUUCCUUCCUUUUGUUAAUAUAACCAGAUUCGCUUCAAUGUCUCAGUUAUGUUAUUAAAAGGUUUUUUUUUGGAAUUUUCAUUCCAAAAAACUCUUUAAAUACUUUCUUAUAUAUGAUAACUCUCUGUAUUUUCGUUUGUGGUUUGAUUACAGUCCAAAAUUUAGAAAAAGUAAAAAAUGGAGAACAUAAAGGCUGUAUCAAUGGUGAUGUUUAUAGUCAUAAUAUUAUGUUUUUCAUCAAACAGACCUGGAGUAGAGGGGGUUAGAGGAGAAGAAAAUGAUCUGAUUGAGGCUAUUUGCAAAAAGACCUCGUACCCAGAUGUAUGUAUCAAGACUUUAAGGUCAAGUCCUGGUAGCUCCGGUGCGGAUGUCAAAGGUCUAGCUCACAUCAUACUUGAAUCGGCAUCAACAUACUCUAAUGAUACGUAUGAACAAAUCAAGAAGUUGCUUAAGGAAACCAAAGAUAAGGCUAUGAGAAACUGUCUCGAUGUUUGCUUUCAAGUUUACGAUCUAACUAUCCAUGACAUCCCCAAGGCUAUAAAAUAUCUGGAGAGUGGUCAUUAUGACUCUGCCACAGAGUAUGCAAAUGAUGGAAUAAUUGACAGUGAUACUUGUGAAAGUUCUUUCUCGGAAUUUCCAGAAAUUCCGAAGUCGCCACUUACUGAUAGAAAUAAUGGUUUGACUGAGCUUUGUACAAUUGCUUUGGAUAUUAUAGCUGUUCAACUUCGGAGUAAAUAAUAAUCCUAGGUCUAAUCCAAAAUAAAUUAAAUAAAUCAAUAAUUCUAUUCAUUGCUAUUCUAUCAUGUCGAGUAUGUAAAUUAUUAGCGAUUUUUAAGUAGUUUUAUUUGAUCGGUCACUCGAGUAUAAAUUUAUGGUAGGUAAAGAGGGUUAAAAUAAUUGAUUUAGAUUUUGCGCAACAGGAAUUCUAAUAUGCAAAACGGUGAAACAAAAUUGAAAUUUAUGUUUUUCCUCUUAUAUGAAGGAUUAAAAAAUUGCAUUAAAAUAAAUGGGUUGUAUUCAUAUUUGCUUGAAUUUGACAUGAUAUGAUUGCACGAAUUGACACCCUUAUGGUUGGAUUCACAUAAUUUCUAACAUUGUAAUUAUUUGUAGCAAUUAGAUUGGGUUGGGUUAUAUGGAUUCAUCUUAAUCGAUCUAACUCAACCUAAUUGUUAAGUUGGUUCAAGAAAAUUGAUCAAUUAAUCCAUAGCAAUCCACUCAACCUAUCUAAAAUGGAACGGGUUGGAUCAUAUCCAUUGGGUUGGAUUGAGUUUGUCCACCCAUAAUUUUUUAGUUGGACUAUUGGGACCCUUAUAAUGUCCUCAUGAAACUCCUUUUUUUGUUAUAUUUAUUUUAUUUUCAAAAAUGUCUUUUUUAUUUUUCAAAUACACUUCUAAUUUUUCAUUUAUUUUUUUAUUGUUAAACUCAAAGUAGUAUUAUGCUAUUUUUCAUUUCAUUUCUAAUCUUAUUAUUACCUAACACACAAAUUAAAAAAAAAAUUUAGGUGAUGAAUUUUUUAAUGUGAAUCAUUGGCUUAAAUUACACAUAUUUUAAAAUUUGAAAGCAAUCUUAAAGUACAAAAUAUUUAAUCAAUAAGAGUUAUGAAAAGAAUAAUAGAUUAUUCUAAAUUAAUACAAUUUAUUGUAUAUAUGAAUAUAUAUAUUUUUUUAUUGUUUCAAAUACCCUCAACUUAUUAUUCUCCAAAAAAAUUAUAUGUGUAUUUAUUUUUCAUUUAAUUUUUUAAUUAAUUAUGAUUAAAAGAUGAUCAAUUAAUUAAAUAAUUAAAUGUAUUUAUAUUCCCAAUAUCAAACAACCACUAAGGUGAAAUGGUUAGAUCAGCAAAAAAGUUGACACUCGGCAAUGUUUGGAUAUAUUUUAAAAUAUUGAAAAAGUUUCGGAUGAGUUUAAUUAAACAAUAGGGGGUUUCGUGUGAGUCACCAUAAUUUUAAGGGGAAAUCAAUUUUAGGCAUUUUGAGUCUUGACCAAUUCUUUUUAGUACUUUAAAUGGACCAUCGGAAAUUUGGAAAAUUUACCUUGUCGAAAUCUUUUUCUUUUAUGGGACAGUACUAAACUUUUCUUAAGCCUCCUCGAUUAUGUAAUCUAAAAUACAAGUGACAAACGUUCAUUGUGUAUAUAUUUAUGCAUAACUAUUUGUCAAUUGGAGCGUGUUAUUGGUUUGGUCUUUUGCUGUGAAAGUAAGAAGUUAAAAUGAUGGAUUUAUCUGCACAUUGCUCUGACACCAAUUGUUGGGGAAAAAUCAAUUUUUUUUUAAAAAAAACUUUUAGAAUCGAUCUCAUACAAUAUAUAAGAAUUCGUAAUCUAUAAAUCGUACCUUGAAAAUCUGAGAAGAUGAACAAUCUUUGUUUUUUCCGCUGAAGUGAUUUAGGCUCCCAGAUCACGAUCUGUCACCACCACUCCUAUUAGAUCACGAUCCGGCACCACCACGCCUAUUAGAUCACGUUCCGUCACCACUGAUCUUCCAGAUUAUGACUCAUGUUUGAUCUACACUUAACGCGUGGGCGCCUUUAUCACCACUAUAAACAACUAGCAAGAGAAAAUUUUUCUCUCAAAAUUAGAGAGAAAAAAUCUUUUUUUCUGAUCUGUAUAAAGUGGAUGCUCUCUUUAUUUUGGGAGAAAAUAAGCCUUUUUUUUAUAUCUCUAUUUAGUGGAAACCCUAGGCUCCAUAUUUAUUUAUUUAUUUAUUUAUUUAUUCUAUUAAAUCCCAUUUGAUUUAAAUAAAAAGUAAUUAAAACAAAAGUCACGUUACUUGUUCUUGUGUUAUAGGAGUCCACCUUGUAAAAUAACACAAGGCCUCUUACACUCAAGCAUAUUAAUAGAGCCUCCCACUAAAUAAUAUAUUUAGGCUUUUAACCUAAAUAGCUAUUUAUCUUACUUAUUAAUCCAGUAGCAGCGCAGUCAAUUAAAUGAGCUAACCCGGGGAUCAUAUGGGUACAUACAAUAGUGGCUACAAUAAUUAGGCCUGUAAUUAAACUAGUCCAAUUAUUUAAUUCCAAAUCUACUCCACUAAAAGAUUGGAAUUGACCUCCAUAAUUGUAUGAUAGUAUACUCGAAUAAUAAUUCGACCCAUGGCACAUUGAUUUCUUUACUGCAUAAUCAUUUGUACCACAUCGUUAAUUAAAUCGAUAUCUCAACUGUCCAAUCGAUUUAAUUACAUCUUGUUCCUUGAUACUUACUGGUUUUCUCUAAUGAUCAUUUUCAACAUACUAAAUAUUUUGACACACUCUGGCUAGAUAAUUCUAUGAUCAAUUGCCGAAAACCCAUCAAGAGAUGUGUUGUACAAAUUCUAUAUUGUUAAUCUAUAACUUCAAUACUCAUAAUUGCUCCCACCAUGAUACCGUAUAAUCUUGACGACAAGUGUGUGUCGUGCCCAUUGGUAACUCAAAUAGAAUAACAAUUACAAUCAUGAAAUCAUAACUAACUCAAGAUUAAGAUUAUAGUAAAAUCAAUGUCUAUGAGAUUUAAUAAGUCUGACAGUCAUUUCAAGGUUAAUUAAAUCUCAUAUGUGAUCUAGCUCAAUGUAGUCAAACUACAUCAGUAAAUUCAUAUAUGAUUCAGACAAGUCAUUCAAUGAAUUUACUACAGUCUAAACCUAAAUAGAGCGCCCAACUCUAUUUAUCAACUGCGAACUAAAUUUAUUUAAUCAUAAAAUAACUUGUAUUUAUUUAUUCUGUGAAUUCAUAUGACGAUCACAUAAAUACAUAUAAUAUGAUUAAACGGACCUUAUUCAAUAUAUAUUUAUGCAAUUAAAAAUAUCUCAAAUAUUUUAUUAAUAAAAAAAUAAAUUAAUAUGCUUUAAAAGAGCAUAUAAUCCCAACAAACUCCACCCAACUAAAAUCUUUAGAAUUAAUUUUCUCUCGUUCCUUGUCCCAUCCCAAAAACUCAUCAAAAUUUAACACACUCCAGCUCUAUAGAAGAUGUUGCAUCCCCACUUACGGACUCGUCAAAACUUUCUGACGAUUGAUUUGGUAGCGUAAAGUUAUUAUAUUAAUAGUGGCACAAAAAUGGGCUGGGUCUUGGGCUAUGCAAGUACAAGUGGUUAAUUUUGGCCGGGCUUAUUCGUUAGAGAAUGUGGAUUGCUUGCAUUAAUUGCAUACAACAAUUUUGACAUAACAUCAUAAAACGUUACUAGCUUUUUUUUGCACUAUCUUGAUGAAUUCCCUUUGGAUUUUUCCUUUCUUUUGCUAACAUAACCAUAUUCAUUUAUGUCUCAAUUAAGUAUGUUAUUAAAAGGUUUUCCAUUGUUUGAAAUUUUCUUUCUAACAAAUUCUUUAAAUACUUUCUCAUCUAUGUUAACUGUCUGUAUUUCUAUUUGUGAUUUGAUUGCGGUCCAAAAUUUAUAAAAAAAAAAAAAAUGGAGAACAUAAACAUUGCAUCAGUGAUGAUGUUUUUGCUUAUGACGUUAUGUUUUUUAUCAAACAAACCUGGAAUAGUAGGGGUUAGAGGAGAAGAAAAUGAUCUGAUUGAGGCUACUUGCAGAAAGACUUCGUAUCCAGAUCUAUGUAUCAAGACUUUAAGGUCAAGUCCAGGAAGCUCCGGUGCAGAUGUCAAAGCUCUAGCUCACAUCAUUCUUGAAUCGGCAUCAGCAUACUGUAAUGAUACGUACGAACAAGUCAAGAAGUUGCUUAAUGAAACCAAAGAUAAGGCUAUGAGAAACUGCCUGGAUGUUUGCUUUCAAGUUUAUGAUCUAGCUAUCUAUGAAAUCCCCACGGCUAUAAAAUAUCUGGAGAGUGGUGAUUAUGACUCUGCUGUCCAAUAUGCAAAUGAUGGAAUAAUUGAAAGUGACACCUGCGAAAGUUCUUUUUCGGAAUUUCCAGAAAUUCCAAAGUCGCCACUUACUGAUAGAAAUAACGGUUUGACUAACCUUUGUACAAUUGUUUUGGAUAUGAUCAACUUGUUAAAAUGAUAACCUGGUCUAAUCCAAAAUAAAUAAAUAAAUCAAGAAUUAUACAACUAUUCUAUCAUGUCGAGUGUGUACAUAAUGAGCGAUUUUUAUGUUGAUAGGUCACUUGAGUUCAAAUUUUAAGAGGUAAGGUGUUUAAAAGAAAUUGAUUUGGGUUUUGCCAAUACGAAUUCUAUAUGCUAAAAGAUUAAAAAAAAUUAAAAAAUAAGAAAAACAUACACUAUAAUGCCCUGUAUUUGUUCUGAAGUAUAUUGAAAUGUGUGUUCUUCUUAUCUUUUAUCCAUUGUUGGAGCAUUACUCUAUCUGCGCACACAGAAAUUUCUUGCACUUUAUUAAAGUAUAUGAAAGCUUUUAAAUCAUGUGGUUUAAUAGCGUAUAAGCAUAACACUAUUAAACCAUAUAAUUUAAUAACUUUCUGUUCUUUAAUAAAGUACGAGAACCCUCGCUAGAUAAUUUUUUUUGUGUGUGUGUAUAUAUAUAUAUGAUUUAAUAGUGUUACAAUGUUAUAAACAAUUUUUGCAACGUUGUAAAGGAGUUUACAAAAGUUAACUUUUUCUAAUGAUGAAGAGUUAGUAAUAGUACUCUUUUUUCUCUGUUUAGAAAGAAUAGCAGGCUGCGUUCCAUAUUCAGAUUUAAAGCCAAGAAAAAACUAAACUUUAAUAUGGGUACAAGUGUUUUUUUAUUUUUUAUUUUUCAUCUUUCAAUAUUGACAGGGUCAUCUUUAUCUUAGAAGAAGGAUGAAAUGCGCGUCGUCACAGACGUUAUUGUAUGUAACGGGCCUGAUGCAAGGAAAGUCUUGGCAAUAGAUAAGCGGCUUGCCCCAAGCAGGGCAGCCAUCAAAUCCUCAAGUUUCCCAGCAGCAGCUAAAUGCAACUGUUGAUGCGAGAUUCUGGUGUCUGCUCGUUCUCUACCAGGAUCCCUCCUCAACUCUCAAAUUCACGACCAACAACAGGUUAUCCUUGUAGCCCUUCUAACCGAGCAGAACAAUGCCUUGUAUGACUUCUACCUCAGCAGACUCCUGAGCACACAGAAACUGGUCAGAGCACGCCGGAAUUUUUCCCGACGUAAACCCUCCAACGCUCAAGUCAGAAAUGUCGGUUCAAUUUUGUGGAAAACCCGGCCACUAAUCUCAUGGUUGUUCUUUAAUCUUUUAGACAAUAGAAAAUGCCUAUGAGUUUUUCUCCCUUUUCUCAAUGAAGAUGCUCUUUCUUAAGUUUUAAUGUGAAAAUGUCUAACCAUUUUACAUUCGUUGAUUACCUUUUUAUAGCCUUCAUGUGAACUCGAUCCCCCACGAUCCAUGCUCAUCACUUUCCCCAGCUCACGGAAGUGGAUGCUUGAAUGUCGUAGUUGUGGCUGAGUGGGUUUCGUGCCUAGAUUCUCGGAUAGGAGUGCGCGUUUCGUUAACCGCUAUAGACUGGGCCUGCCGACCUCGAUCUUCAGCAGGGAAAGCUGUCGGCCCCUAGCAGGAGACCAUCUCGUCCUUAUAGUCGAGCAGACUUCAUCCAUCUGCUCUCUUGUAAGAAGGCUAACUCCUCGUCCAGGGUACGGAUGGUCUCGUCGUUAUAAAUCCCUAAAACACCGGUCCUCCAAUUUCUGGUAUUUGCAAUGCAAUGGAUUAAUACUAGAAACUUGAUUAGUUUGGCCUUUCUCGAGGAACAUUUGACUUGGCUGUAAGAAAUAAGGAUAUUGCUCACUCCCGCUUAGUCGUUUCCCCUUUUGCCACUAGCAAGCUGCUUCCUCGAAGAGUCACUUCGCAAUUAAAUGCGGAAGCGGUGGCAUGAAUUCGUCCACCCGUUUGAAUUUCAAAUUUAUGGUUGUGGAACUCUCGGAGCGCGUACCGUUUGGGUGGCAAUAAAUCGAAAGCAUCACCGUCACUUCAAAACCCAAAUUCUCUAAAGUGUUCUUUUCCUCAUUCGUCUAUUUCGCAUCCUCCAGCGGCUGGUGAUCCUCUUCUCUCCAAAAUUGAAACUAUCGUUCUUAUUUCCGCUUUGGUGUUUCACUGCUUCAGGUACUGUUUUCUCCUUCUCAACUUUGGAUUUUUGUUGUUAUUUUGAGUGAAAUUUGGUUGUGUCUUUUCGGAUAGAGUUUAGGGAAUGUCAAAAGGCAAAGAGAAAGUGAUUGAGGUUGACGAUGAUGAGUUAGACUUCCUACCUAGUCUACUCCCUGAUCCCACUUUUGACCCCGGGAUUCCUCUAGAACCGAUAAGACCUAGUAUAGAGACUAGUGCUAGGAGAAAUUCUCCUGAAGCCACCACAUUAAAUAGCGAUGAUGAUGGGUCUUCUGGUUCGGAGGAUACUCUAAGUGAGGACCCGGGUGGAAAUUCUGGUGAAGUGUCCUCACCAGAAGUAUCGCAACCCAAAAAGAAAAUAAAGAUAGGGGGUAGAGCUCUAUCAGAGCAUUACGCUAUCGACCACAUGACCUGCAUGACCACAGUAGAAGACCUCGUCGAACUCCAAGCUGAGUAUGACAUUCCUGAUGAUAUACCCCUUAGAAUUUCAGGGAAAAAAAGACACUCCCAGUCGACCGCUUAGAGGGUAUGUUACUCUAUUUCUAGAGAGCUUUAAGUUCGGGAUGAGGCUGCCUUUACAACCGUAUUUCGUCCAAAUGCUUAGGGGGUUACAUUUAGCUCCUGGUCAACUUAACCCUAACGGGUGGAGGGUACUUUCUGGUCUGUUCAUUUUGUGGAGCAGAUGCUGUCAGAAAGAACCCAUGGUUGAAGAGGUCAAACAUCUAUAUCAGUUAAAGAGCAACCCCAAAAACGCCGGCUGGUAUUAUUUCAUAUCAAACACCAAGACUAGGAAACUCAUAACCGAUCUUCCAACAGGUGGUGGUGGGAAUUGGAAGAGAAAAUUAUUUUUUGCUGGGGGUCUCUAGGGUCAAGUGGCUUAGAUUGAUGGGGAGAACAUUCAUGUCCCUCCCGUUUCGUAGUUCCAGGUUGCCUGCUCGUUUUAGAUGUCUUGUACCCUUAGUUGUUCUAGUGAUUGAUCAUUUUCUAACACGGUCUUUGUUCGAACUGCAGGUUCCUAGGGCGUCCACUACAACCUCGAACCUGACGAGCUCAAGCGGAUCGAGACUGUAUUGGCAAAUUCCUGUUCGUACAGGGAAUUGCUGACUACCUAUAACUUCUUCGAGUCCCGCCUAGUACCCACCAAUCUCGAGAUGAAGGACAUUGUGAUUGGGGCUUUGACCAGAAAACGUCGUCGUCUUGGUGCUGCUAAGCGAGAUCACAACAAAGAGGCUCCCCCUGGGAAACGGGUCAACACUGCGGAGCAGGCCUCCCCUUUGAAGACUUUACCUCAUCCUCCUCCUGCCAGAGCCAGAGAAACUAGUGGAAGUGGUGAUGAUCCCACUUCCCCACGUCCACCAGCAGGGUUAAGACCUCUUUUGCCCGGCAAUCGACCAGAGCAUCUGGUCCUUACAUCAGCGAGUUUUCUAGGCUCGUGAGCAAGAAGGACUUGGAGGAUUUUGACGGCAGCACUUUAGGCGAGCUGGUUGGGGCCAUGCAGUUCAGUGCUUUUCACAUUGGCUGUAUGGCCACGUACUACAAGGCGAAGGUCGGUCGUUACGACCGAAAAAUGAAAGAAGACCUUCAGUCAGCAAAAAACAAAGCUGACGCUGUCGAGAAGAAAGCUGCAGAUCUCAACCUCGAGAAUUUGAAAUUGAUAGAGCGGGAGUCUCUCGCGCAGGCAAAAGUUAUCACCCUUGAGGAGGAGCUAAAUAGGGUUAUGGAUGAUUUGCAGACGCAACAAGCUACCUACGAAGCUCGACUCGAAUCCCUUACAGCUUCCCACCAGACGCAGGUCGAAAACUUAAAGAAGGAAGUUGACAACCAGGGGCUUCGGCAUUCUUAUCGGUGCAUCAUGGCCGUUCUUAGGAAGCAGCAUCUCGGUCUGAAGAUGGAUGAGCUUGCUGCUGGUGUAGCUGAAUAUAUGGACGAGGAGGCAACUAAAGAAGGUGGUGAAGAGGCGGAACCACAUGCCACCGAGGAGGCAACCUCCCCUCCUCGUGCAGCUCCUACUGAUGUUGUCGAGGCAAGUACCCCCCCUCCGGGCGCAACUGGUGAGACCCCCUGCUCCUGAAGUGGACCAAUCGGUGGAGACGGCUCUGCUUACUGAUUCCCCGUCCUCUUGAUUGCAUUUUACGUUAUGUACUUCUUUUUGGGACGUUUUAUGUCGAGAAUAUUAGCUCUUUACUAUUUUUGGCAAAUUAAUAAAACUCCUGAGUUUGUUUGCUUUGCUUUUCACUUUAUUCUUUACUGUCGAGCAGAUCCUGACAUUCUAAGCUUCCAGUCUCGUCAUAGAGCAGGCUCUAAGACUUAUGAGGCCUUUGCAUGGUUUUUAAACUUUUUCUAACUUUUGGUGGUCUGCUCUCCUUCUUAUGGCUGAGCAGAUUCUAGCAUACCUGGCUUCCUGUCUCACCAUAGAGCAGGCUCUGAGACUUGUGGAGCCUUUACGUGCCUUAGAAGAUUUUUGGAACUUUUGUGGUCUGCUUGCCUUCGCUUGGUCGAGCAGAUCCUGGCAUGCUUGGCUUCCUGUCUCGCCAUAAAACAGGCUUUAAGACUUUGGAGCCUUUGUGUGCCUUAGAAGAUUUUUGGAACUUUUGUGGUCUGCUAGCCUUCGCUUGGUCGAGUAGAUCCUGGCAUGCUUGGCUUCCUGUCUUGUCGUAAAACAGGCUUUGAGACUUUGGAGCCUUUGCGUGCCUUAGAAGAUUUUUGGGACUUUUGUGGUCUACUCGCCUUCGCUUGGUAGAGUAGAUCCUGGAAUGUUUGGUUUCCUGUCUCGUCAUAAAACAAGCUUUGAGACUUUGGAGCCUUUGCGUGCCUUAGAAGAUUUUUGCUUGUGUAAUAUGACAACUGAAUGAAAUUCCUCCAUCUUUCAUUAAUUAUUGAAUUCGGCUUACAUGCAAUUGACUAAGUAUAAAACAAAUAAUAAGUACGAAGAGAAAUAAUUCUAAAGCAUAAUUGGGUCUUACUGGAAAUAUUUCGUGAGAUGUGCUGCGUUUCAACCUUACUAUUUCCAGCUCCUCAACAGACUCCUCUCUGCCAUCCUUGACUCCCACUUGAGUAUCAAGUGAUGUGAUCUGCAUUGCUUCCCUCGCUGCUGUGGAGUAACAGCUUCGGGCAAUUCUCUGGUCUCCUCGUACCACCCCAACUACUCCAUUUACCCGAUACUUGAGAGCCAAGUAAUGGUUGGAGAGUACUGCUAUGCUCAUCCUCAGAAAGGGGCGGCCUAUAAUCAUUUGGUAAGGACCCUCUUCAUCGACAACCACAAAAUCCAGGAUCAUAGUCUUUUCUGUCGGGGAGCUGCCAAUUGUGAUGGGCAGCUCGACCACGCCUAAAUGGACCAGCUUUCCUCCACCAAAUCCCUUCAAUGAGGUAUUGGUGUGCUCUAACCUCAGGUCUGCUAUUCCCAUCUCCUCCAGAGUUGUCUUGAAUAGGACAUUGACCGAGCUUCUCGUAUCUACCAAAAUCUUGUCAAAAUUCUAGAAGAACGUUAAGAAUCAACAACCAACUUAAUUUCAAGUAACAACAUGAUGUGCGUAUCUACAAUAUGGCUAUUGUCAGAAUUGAUCUAAAUAAUUAGUUAUAUAUACUCCCAAAUUGUCGUAUACUGUGUGUCACAUAUAAGAAGCUAAGGGUUAGUAGCGAAAAAUUUAAGGGUAUAACCGAAAAUUUAGAAUUUUCAAUAGACUAUUAGGAGUUAUAAACGGGAACUGUACUAGAGCUAUUCUUGCUAUUAUUGUAUAUACAAAAAAAAAAAAAAAAAUACAUUUGACUCAAUAAGUACAUAUGAAAGCUCUUACGUAUGAACAUCCAAUAUUUUAUAGUAUCGUUUAUUUUUAAAUUCACAUUUUAAAAUAUACAGAUAUUCAGCCGAAAAAAAAAAGAAAACGGUGUGUUUUAUGAGAUGGGAAAGAAACUAACAAAGUUUGCGUGCACAAGAUGAAAAUGACCUAUACUAUUAUACUAAUGAGGUCUUAAAGGAAAUUUUAUCCAUGUUUACAGAACGCGGGCCUUGGAAUUUGAUUUUACUGUAACAAAGGACCCUCUAGCGGCCUACAUAUGGGUUCUUAUAAUCUUAUAUUUAGUAGAAAUAUUAUAAUAUACUAAAACUUCUUUAUAGUAAUAUCGUAUAUAUAGGAGUAACAUUCUUACAGAUACAAAAAAUUUUGGGCCCAAUUUGGGCUACUUAUAAAUAACAAUAGGGUGGGGUUUUUGAGCCCAGUAAACUACUGAUAAGACCCACAUUUAAAAAUAAUUUUUACUUAUUAAAAUACUCCUAGAUCAAAUUACAAUUAUAGACAUUAAACUAUUAUUAUAAAAUAUAAUUUUUUUACUAUUAAACCCAUCUAUAUAUCUAAUGCUGUAUUUUAUAUUCUUUAUUUUUUAUUAAUCUUAAAACAUAUAUAUAAGUAUACAUGUCAGCAAGCCACUAGUGAAUUGGCUCCCAUAAUCUGGUUUCAUUGUGUAGCUACAUCUCAUGAUUAAAUGCAGAUACUUAUAUUUUAAGAAACGAAUGCUUUAAUAUAUUCAGUUUUAGUAACAAAUAGAGUUACAAUUUGUUUUACCUUUUUUUUAUAAUUAAAUAAAAUGAAUUUUCUUCGUGACGAGAAAUAGUAAGUAUUUAAAUAAUUUUUAUCUUAUUUUUUACACAACUGGUUCUUUUAAGUUAUUUUCUAGUAAAAUUCGAGCAUUUCAUUUUUAAACUAUAAAAAAAUUUUAAUAAUUAAUCGAAUUAUUUCUUGAAUGAAUAAAAAAAUCAUAGACAACUACAAAAAUUUUAGUUUUCUUAUGGAUUGGUUUAUAUUAACAAAAUAUUUGAAUUCAUUAUUUUGAGCACAUAUAAAUUUAUAGUAAAAGCAUUAUUGUUAUACAAAUUGAGUUUAGUAAGGAUAUAUUAGGUAUUUAGGUGGGUUUGUUGAGUAAAAUUUAAAAUUUUGAAAUUUAAUAAUAGGUUUAUUUAGUAAUUGGGUUUAGUAAUUAGUUUUAUGGGUUCAAAUAGUCCCACCCAUAAAAAUAAGUUCCACACUAUGAUAAGUUAUAAUUUUUUGAAUCUUAUUUUAAGGAACUCGUCUUACAAGUAAUAAUUAUUUAUAUAUUAUAAAAAACAUAUGCUUUUUUUUUUAAAUUAUGUCUUUCUUUAUCAAUGCCUAUACAUUAGAUUUGAUAUCCUCCAUUAAUAAUUUUUCUUUCUUAUGGUGAAAUCUCCUUCAUAUGCUCUUGUUGAUUCUAAACAAAGCCGCCUUUUUGAUAUGGAUGGAAACUUCCCAAUUCCUAUUAAUAUAGUGAUACUUUUUCCCCCUAUAUCACUUGCACUAAGGAUAACCAAAGUAAAAUAUUAAUUUUUAUAAUUACAUCUUUAUUAAGUUAUAACCUCCUUACAGUAACAAAAUUUAUUUGGUGCGAACAUUAUUACUACAGAGAGUUCUUACUAUUGCAAUCAAAUGAAAAAAAAUAUAUAAUAAUUUUACGUGACUUGAAUUUUCACCUAUAUCCAUUAGUGAAGACGUGAAGUUAAUCUUUACUAUUAAAAAAAAUAUAUGGGAUACAAAUAUUGGAUGAUAAUAUAUCACAACCAAAUCCCAGUACACCCAAAAUUCUCUCACCCAAGCUCCCAAAAUUCAGUCGAUCAAAUGUAACUCUCACCAAAAUGAUAAUAAUAAUGAUAAUCAUCAUCAUCUUAUUGUCCUCGCCAUUAUACUUGGGGCCAUAGAGAAUUCUGACAUUUGCCAUAAUACGCAGCUUAGUACCCUUAGCCUGAUAAUGUAAAAAAACAAAACAGUUUAAUAAAAUUAAUUUAAUCUUGCGAUUUUCAGAACACUGAGAAAUAUGGUAUAAGUUGAUGAAUAAGGUUUUGUUAACCUGAUGUCAGGAACCACAGCCAGUGAUGCUCCAAAACCCAGCAUUGCAAUCAAAAUUAAGGCCGUCCCUUGAUAGAACCUACAUAAGAGAAAAGGAAAAAAGAAGCUAACGGAGAACAACCACUAAACUUAUUUAAACUUAUAUGAGUAGAUAGGAUGACAAAAUAAUUCGGACUCGCACGAAUCUGUAUAAUCUGCAUUGGGUUCAACCCGUACCGGAUUCAAAUAACAUCCAAAAUCUGACGGCGUUAUAAUAAAUCCGGACGUAUCUAGAUCCGGAUCCGAAAUUGAGUCAACCCGCAUAUCCAGAAUCCGGACCAUGAUAUCUUUACUCUUAGUAUUAUAUUUUAAAUUUUUUUUAAUAUAAAUAGAAAAGAAAAAAGUUAAAAGAAUAAAAAAAGAAAGAUGAAACACUAGUUUACGCUUUACAACUCUCUCUCAACGCAGCCACCAACCUUCUUCCUCUUCUCUUCAUCAAUUCAACACAGCCGCCAACUAUUGCCUUUUUCGUCAUCAUCGUCUCGCCGCUUUGCUGCCAUCGCGGCUGUGUUGAUCAUUGUAGUCAUCAGCUGCCAUUCAGUUUGUUGAUUGGUGUCAAACUGGAUUCAAGUGUGGUAUCAAUUACCAGCCUCCAACUGUUGUUUCAGGUGGUGAUUUCACGAGUGCGCAGAGGGCUGUGUGCGUGAUAUCGAACUCAACUAAUGUUGCUAGGGAUUUUUCUCGUAUUGACCACAAAUAUGGUUUGAUGUAAUGCUAAUAAGAGGGCAUAGAGAAAGGUGAGUUCUUUGAAGCCCGUGAGGAUCUUGCGGCUUUGGAGAUGGAUUAUGAGGAGGCUGGUGCUGAGUCUGGUAAGGGUGAAAAUGGUAAUAACGGAGAUGAUCUGUGUUUGUAAUUUUUUAGCUUGUGUUCUUUUGAUUGCUAAUUUGUUGUGGUGGUCGGAAUUUCUAGUUGCAUUGGUUCACGUUCUGCUGCCUUUACUUUUUUGGGUGAAAUUGCUAUGCGGCUGUAUGUUUUUUUUCCCAUUGUAUCCAUGGCCUGUUAGAGAACUGGGAAAAAAAUUCAUAAGGAUUACCCUGAGUUAAAUUAUCCGGGUUUACAUCCGGAUUUGGUAUGGCAAAUUGGCAUCCCGGACCCGGAUUUUGCCAUCCCUAAAUUGACACAUAUGGCCGCUAGAAUAUAUAUCAUGAUGCCUUUUCAAAUAUGCUGCUUCUUUUGAUCCCCUGCAUUCUUGGCAACUAAUUUCUUAGCUGGGGUAACUAAAUGCGCUUUUGACAUCCUCCGCUCCAAUCUAACAAUCAUUACUCAUUGACAAUCAAAUUGCAUGUGAAGUUACAAUGAGAGAACGAUGGAGAUUUGGUCAUUAUAUGCAUUUAUGAUUUAUCACUUUUUGCUUCUCAUUAUCUUCGAUAUCUAUGGAUGGCAUCAACAUUGCAUAAAAUCUAUUUUUCAAAGCAUAUAAUCUAUUUCAUUCUUAAUUUCCAUCCUGUGGACCCGUACUGUCAAAUUUUGCUUGUAGAAAUUUAAGACCUGCCUCUUGAAUUUUUGCACAAGUAGGACACUGAUGCAUGGAGUUCUGGUAAAAUGUGAACAAUUUUUUCAAAUCAAAUUGUUUGUGGUCAUUUAUGAAUUUCUUUGAAAACGUUUAAGAAAGUGUCAAUGUAUAUUCCCAGAAUUUACAAUCAUAAUAUUCAUCAGCUCAUUAACUAGUAUAACAAAUAUUUUUAUUACUUAUUGUUGUUGUUAAAUGACAAUUAGUUGUAGGAAGUGCUACAUUACUCUGUCUUGUCUACUCAUCUUUGACACUGAUAGCCCACAUUCCAAUACACCCUGCUUUCUCUUUCACCCAAGCUCUUAAAGUUCACUCNNNNNNNNNNNNNNNNNNNNNNNNNNNNNNNNNNNNNNNNNNNNNNNNNNNNNNNNNNNNNNNNNNNNNNNNNNNNNNNNNNNNNNNNNNNNNNNNNNNNUAAAAUAAAUAAAAAAAUAAAAAAUAGAAAAACAAUGUUCUAUUGUCCGGGCUGUCACUGGCUGAGGUGCGGCGCGGGGCGCCAUACCAGUUUCUAGCAAACAUAGACAACCAAAACAAUUUUGAUAAAGUUUAACUUGUGAGAAACAGUGAAAAUGUUGUUAAUGAAAACCUGAGUUAUUGUUCAGGUUUAGGUUGAUGUCAAGAAGCACAGCUUCUGAUGUGAGGAAAGUCCUGGCCUUAGAGGCUGCUUGCUCCAAGCUGCAGCUAUCAAAUCCUCAAAUAGUUCAAGUUGAAGCUAAAUGCAACUGCACAAAAAGAAAAAGAAGCUUACAUUGUUCAACCAUUACACUCAUUCAAACUUAUAUGAAUUGGCAUGUGGUCACAAGAAUUGCAUGCCUUUUAGAAUUCAGUGCUUCUUUUGACCGCAGCAAUCACGGCGCCAAAUCAGUUUCGGGCAAACAAACUGGGUUAUAACAGUUGCGUGCUCAGCAUCCUUAACCUAUUACAUAGACAACCAUAGACAAUCAGGACAACUUAAGCCUAAUCUAGAGAGUUUCAAAACAGUGCCAAAAUAAAAUAAAAUAAAAAUGAUAUAGCUCAUAACAAAAACCUGAGUUUUCCAUAGCUACAGGUCCAGGUUUCCCAGCUUCUGAUGCGAGGAAAGUCUUGAAAACGGCAUUGGCAACCGCAGUCACGGAUGUCAAAUGAUAGCACCUGAAUGUACAAAAGGAAAAAGGAGCUAACAGUGUUCAACCAAUAAACUUAGUGAAACUGAAACUUAUAUGAAUUGGCAAUAGAAUCCCAUGCCUUAUCAAAUUCAAUGCUAAUUUUGACCCCACUGGCAUUAGCUCAACGCCCUUUUUAACAGCCUUUUCACUAAUAAGCUUCUUGUGGUCAUAGUCCCGCUCUACUGCAUGAAUCAUAUGAUACAAUUACUACCAGAUUAAUUGGUCAGCUGGCUCAGAAAAUUUAUCACUUAUCUCGAAAGCCAAAUUAACGAACAUAUAUAAGUCAAUGAAGUAAUGUUUCAAACAUGCAAAUCUAACUCUUUUGAUGUCACCUAAGUUCAGCCACACUGCUUUAUUCACCAAUCUAGCAAAAUUAAUUCUCAUUCUUGAUCACAUGUUCUGCAAAUUGGAAAUUUUUUUUUAUAGUAUUAGAAGAUUAUAUAUUCUGGUGUAGAACUUGAUUCAAAUAUUUCAUGCUUCGAAAUUAGAUAACAAAUAACGAGAGAGAAGGGGAGAAAAUGACUUGAGGCUGAGAAUGAUUCAAAUACAGCCAUUUGAUAGUUUUGUCAAGGGCCUAUUUUCAAAUCCACUUAAUACAUGCUGAUGUGAGGAAUAAGAGCUGUCUUAGUACAUCUCCUUGCUCCAAGUCCAAUAUCAGAUCAAGUUGAAAUGAGAGAAUAAUGGAAACUUGGUGUUUAUACAUUAAUUUAUAAUUUAUCAGUUAUCACCUCAGUCUGCUCUACAAUUUUGCAUUCACUAAGGUUUCCUUGAGCUACGUUUCUUUUUGUGCUUGAACCUAAACAUACACAGCAAAGAUAUUAAUGAAAAUGAAAUUCCAUAAAUUACAGAAAUCAGCCAAAACACAUACUCUGUAGAAGCAAGCUAAUGAGAAUUACCUAAAUCACAGUGAGUCCUAUUAUGUGGCAAUCCUUCACGAGUAAGCUAUUCUUUUUCUUAGACCUGCUUAAUUCACCAAUCCAAGUCAACAUAAUUAAAUAGUUUUCCCUAUUGUUUAUUUAAUUAAUUUUCAACAUUACAAAAUAUGGCAAAAACAAGCACUGUAUAAUCAAAAUGUAUUGAUGGUUGAAUUAAAGUUGACAUAUUCAAUUGAAAAAAAAAAUGAUUAGCUAGUAUUGCAUCCUUAAUUAGAUUAGUAAAAAUAGCAGCGCAGGACUAGAGAUAACCUGAGGCUGAAGUGAUCAUACACAAUUGCAGCCGGUUAAGAAUUUUGUCAAGGGCAGCCUCCUUUCACAUCCUCUUACGAAACCUAAUAUGGAGUUGACUCAAAACGCUAUUUAUGCUUCUUAAUUAGAUUAAAAAAAGGCUGAUGCUACAAUACCUGCAUGUAUCAGAUACAUGCAGGUUUUAUGGCCGUUGGAUUCAUUGUAUUGAAUCCAACGGCCAUAAAUGAAUUUAAACAAUAAAUAAUUAAAAAAAUAUAAAAAACUUGAAACCUAUAGAAUCGGUCUCAACACACAUCAAACCCAGGCAUAUAUAUUUAUUGGGAAAAAAAACAAACAAAAGGCUCUCACCUCACGCGGGAAAUCAAUUUCUUCUUCCCUCCCUCCUCACUCACGGCUCACGACUCCCUCUCCCUCUCCCUCUUCACUCACCCUCACAGCUCCCUCUCCCUCUCCCUCAUCAUUCACUCUCUUGCCUGCAGUCCUUCACGAGACGCCUCAUCAGGGCCACCAACGACGGCGCUAUCCGGCGAGGACACGCAGAGGUUGAUCUCUANNNNNNNNNNNNNNNNNNNNNNNNNNNNNNNNNNNNNNNNNNNNNNNNNNNNNNNNNNNNNNNNNNNNNNNNNNNNNNNNNNNNNNNNNNNNNNNNNNNNNNNNNNNNNNNNNNNNNNNNNNNNNNNNNNAAAAAAAAGAAUAUAUAAGGCUUUUAAAUGUGGUAAGAAGAAUCAUUCGCCUCUCAUAUUUAAAAAUUACAGCUUUUAUCAUGUAAGUUUAUUAGUGCGUAUUGUUGGGUAAUGUAAUAAUUUACAUUGAUUUAGAAUUCGUGGAGAGAGUUUGAUGACAUUAUCAGUGUGUAUUGACAGGGGACAUAAUUUUUAGUGUACACAGUAUAAUGGGUAAGCGUAAGGCCAAUGUCGCAGAUGACAUUAAUAUUCAGUCUGAGAAGCGGGAUCCUCUGAGGCCGGGCAAGCAUUCGUACAUAUACUACUUGAAGAAACUAAUUCAUUGUUGAAUUUUAUUAUUGACAUUUUGUAGUCAUUUCAGUUUAACAGUGCAAUAAUUUUAAUUGACAUACAAGGAACUGAUAUUUGAUAUUAUUUUUCUAUCUACAGCAAGAUAGAAUCCCAAAAGUUAAAGGAGGAAGGUGUGAAGGUGGAUGAAACGGUUUGUAGACAACUUUUCUAUGUUGCAGCCUACUAAUUAAAUAGUUUGGUUGAUGAUUGGCCAAUGAAUAUAUAUAUAUUUUUUAGUGUAGGUUAAGGGGCGUAUACGUGACAAAUGGUUGAAAUUCAGCGCGAAAGAUAAAGCCGAAUUCAUCAACAGUUAUAAUGAAAAGGUUGAAAUGAACUCGAGAUUGGCCAGUGGAUUGUUAAGUGAACCGAUUCCAACAAUGGAGAACAAUUCUGAUAAGGGUAAUCACCUAUGUCGAUGUAGUGUUUUGCGGUUCUCCAACAUUGUUUCUUCGUUAUCUAUUGAACAACAAGAUGUUGUGAGAGAAAUUGGUUUCAGAAGCUUGUUAGGUUUAAAAUGUGGGCGACUUAGGCAAGAUUUAUGUAGAUUGUUAGUUAAGCAAUGUAACGAAGAUAAGCGGUCGAUAACAGUCCAUGGAAUGGAAUACAAGCUUCCUCUGGAAACUUUUACAAGCGUGAUGGGUGUUGGUGACAGAGGAACACCGAUUGUGCUUGGUGGUGAAGAUAGUGAAAUUACUGACUUACGAGCCAAGUAUUGCUCAGGAAAGAAAGGCAUCCCAAUAGGUAGUUUAGAUGAAAAAUUAAAGACAAAUAGUUGUGCAGAUGAAGAUUUCUAUAUUCUAUUUAGUCUAUUUGCGAUUGGAACUAUUUUGUGUCCAACUACAGCUACAUACAUCAACCCAUCAUACCUUUAUGCUUUAAAAGACGUGAGUAACAUUUGCGACAAAAAUUGGGCCAGCUGGUCUUUCAAUUUUUUAUGGGAAGAAGUUUCAAAGUUCAACGAAAAUAAAAUUUCCUCGAUGAGUGGAUGCGUUAUAUUUUUAAUGGUAUGAUUUAUUUAGUAAUUUGUAUUCUCGUUAGUUAAACGAUUAUGGUAUUAUCGAUUAUUAUUUCCGUAUUAACUAAUUUUUUGUUGUUUGCAGUUGUUCUACAUGUCAUCAACUAAGUUUCAGCUUUCUUCUGUUGCCGAGAAUGGAUGUCCUCUUAGUGCAUAGACUGAUAGUGAAAUAAAAAGAUUCCUCAAGUGGCGACAAAAGUAUGGUGACUUUGAGAGCAAUGCGGUUUAUUCCCUUCUAUAAUUGUAUAGUGUUUUGUAGUUAUGUUAUUAAAUUGAAUAGAUUAUUUAUGGAUAUUUGUAGUUAAUGCAGGUUCCGAUGCGAGAAAUCAGUUGCGGCUCAUCAGGUGCUCAAAGUGAAGGACAAAUUGACAAUGGUGACGCCGCAAGGCAACAUCCAUUUCAUGCUAUAUUAGCAGUAAUGGAUAAAAUGGAGGAACAUAUGAGAAGAAAUAAUGAUUUACUACAAAAAAUGGGCUUGAAAAUGGAUUCUCUUACUGAAAAGGUUGAAAAGUUGGAACGAGCAUAUUUUCGUCAAGAAGGAGCAAAUGUCGCUGAUGAUAGUCAAUCACCUCCUACAUAUACUGGUGCCGAGGCAACUGAUGGUCCAAUCUUUUCCUCUUCGAAUAUGGAGAUGCACCCACUUAUCCCUGCAAUUGUCACGCUUUCAGAUCUAGUACGGGAAAAGCGUAUGCCCAUUGAAGUUAAAGAACGAAAAGUUGUGUACCUCAGCACAUCCACUGAUGAAGAGGUUGUCCUAAAAGAAAAGUUGGCAGAAGUAUUGCAAGACGCGAUGAAGCCUAAAUUGGUGCCGGAACUUCAAGAUGAGGUAUACAUAGAGUAAUAAUUUGUUAACUUUUGUCUAAACUAUAUAUGAUUUAGUCUAAUCUUUCUUCUUUCUUUGUCUUGAAUAAAUAUGUAGUCUUCCGCGCAACAAGAGAAGAAAUGUCAACAGCCGCAAGAUUUUAAUCCGCUGUCUUUAGGCCCUCCUCGGCCAUACAGAAAUCGAAAGCUGGGGCGGUACCAGUUGUUCCCGUAUGAUCAAGUCUCACGCGGUCCAAAGCCAAAAUAUCGAGCGGGCCCUUUUUUCAUGAAUGAGCCGGUGACCCUCGAUCAAUUGAAUAUGCUCCAAUAUGGAUUUGACAAAAGCGCUAGCCUAGAGUAACAAUACCUUCAUGGCCACUCAUCAAGCUCUUUUCGUUUAAUAUGUUGUCAUAGUUAUUUGAUUUUGUUAAUGUAUCAUGUGAUUAACAUACAGUGAAAUAAUUGUGCGAUCAAGUCAUGAGGAUAUCACUCGGCAAGGCUUGUUAUCACUUUUGCCCGAUGCAUCACUUGACGAGGAGGUUUGUUCGUAAUUUGACUUUAAUGAUGAAAUUGUAAUUAAUAAAACCAAUUAUAAUUGUUCUUGUGUUUAGAUUAUUUUCAUGAUGAGUGAUUACCUUACACGACGUGAGUCGUGCAAAAGCCAUGGGCAACCAAUAAGCUAGUUCCUACCAACAAGAUAUGCAGUUACUGAUUCGUUCCUGUCUUUUUUUUCAUAUCCUUUUUCUCAUCAUUAACUACGGUAAUUUCAGUUGUGUUUUAUAUGAAUUUGAUGUGAUGAAUAUGUAGCAAUUUGCUACAAUACCAAAUGCACAUUUAGAUGGUUUCAAGGCUGCCUCCCAAUACCGCAAACGUUACAUGUAUGACCUGCACCGGUGCCAUCAGGUAGCGUGUGUGUUUGUUGAAAUGAUUUUUCGUUAUGAUCGAUAUUAUGUAUGGUAAAAGUGACCCAAAGUUGUUCUUGAAUAGAUCUUUGUUCCCAUGCAUGAUGGUGGCCACCAUUGGUUUAUGUUGUUGGUAGAAAUUUAAGACAAACAAGCGGAGAUCUAGGAUCCACUACCGGAUGCACGACAGACACGAGAUCGAGAAAUCCAAGUGAAUAGUAUUGUAAGUCCAACUAAUUUAUGAUAAAAACGAUGAGUUUAGUUUUCUGGGUAUUGUGUUAUUAAUACAUGUGAUGUAUUUUUGCACUUGAAAAUAGUUACACUCGUUGGAUGCUAUACUUUAUGCCGUCGUGGAUGCUACAUAUUCAGUAUCUUGGACUUUCUUGUCAUUUGCAGUGACCCAUGGGGAAGGAGUUCCACGGCAACCUAACGGUUUUGAUUGCGGAGUUUACGUCAUCAAAUUUGUGGUACGCUCCCUUAUUCGCCUUAUGUGGUUUCUUGGUUGAUUUUACUACUGUUGUUGGGCCACUGACAUGAUGAAAGUGCAUGAUUAUUUCUGCAGCAUAACUCACAGAAUGUUCGGGCGCAACUUGCGUUACAACUUAUAGACUCUCCGUUCAACGAACAACGCGAUCAAUUAUUGACGUUGGCUAAUGCACACUACAGUAACGCUGCAACGUACAUAAAUGAAUCGAAGCUUGCAUCAACAGUGAAGCCUCGUAAUGUGUCCACUAGAAAAGGUCAUAAGAACAGUUGCACAAAAUGUCGUUUCAAGCGGAAGGUUUGAGAUUGUUGUGAAUAUAGAUUAUGAUAAUUUUUUGCUGACUUCAUUCACAACUAUAAACUUUUGCUAAAUUUACCUUGUAACUGGAUUUGACGUACGAGUCAUGUAAAUUGUUUUGAUGAUCCAAAGGCGUAGAGGGAUUAAUAGGGCAAUUAUGAUUUUUUCCUUCGGCAACUGGUUGUCUUAAUUAAUACAUGUUGAAAGGAAGAUAAUUGUUGUAAAUGUUGCUAUUAUCACUAAGUACGCAAAAUAUAUUAUUACAUUGUCAUUGUUCACUUCUUACAUGAUAAUAUAACUCAAUGAUUUCCAAAAAGUUCGUUCUGCCCCCUCGGUUUAGAUCCAAAAAGUACAUCAUUAGCGAUCAUCCCCCAUCCUCCAAGUAUGUGUACCGUCCUCAACUGAGCAUAAUAUAAAUCCGAGUUAGUUAAACAACGUAAGAAAGUUUGCCAAGCAAAUUCAUAUAUCAUGGGAAAUCACUUACAAGUUAUUAUGAGGCCACCAAUUAUAGUAUGUGCUUGCAUCGGUUUCAUAGGUUAUACCAAAUGUGUUACUGCUGUCGUAAUGGUCGUCAAUUCCUUCUGAGAUGUUAAGCCUCCAAGGACAAGUUGUCUCGAACGUAAAUGUUGGGGAACUUGGCGAGCUUGAUUCCAUUGAAACAGGUGGUGUUAACACAUUAUAAGAACAAUGCCUUGGAUGAUCGUCAGUCGAAACACAACCAAUACCGCCAACGCUGCAAUGAAGGUCAUUGGGUUGCAUGUCCUUUGGCGGAUAUAGCGGGCAAGUCUGUUUAGUAUGGCCAGGCUGAAAACACUGACUGCAUUUGCGAUUUUUAGCCCCAUCGUGUUUAACGGUUUUAGAGCAACCUUUACUAUUAACUGUAAACGGGUCUUUCAACUUCAUACCUGCUUGAAGUACACAAUUCCUGGCUCGUUUAGCUGAUUCAUCAUCCGCAAUCAUCUGUUCAACGCGAAGCGUCAGCCGUUGAAUCUCGUCUAACGCUAUCAUAUAACUUUGUUCAUUCUUUACGGUGAAAAGACAAAGAUUAGUACAUGCCGCUGAAAGCGAGGCAAACUUUGCUGUUUCUAACACUUUCUUAUCGAGGUGUGACGCUGCAGCUGUCAUUUUCAUCACUUUACUCACCUUCACUGAUUUGGUCCAGUGACCAAGAAUCAAUGGUGGUGGUAUGCGAACUAGUUGCUCGAACUUCAUGACGUGAAAUAUAUGCCUACAUGGAAUACCUGCUAAUUCCAUCAUCUUACAUGAACAAGUAAUUGCAACUUCUUUACUAUAAAAUACCACUGUUCAUUUUUGUUCUGGAUGCUGAAAUUUCGUUAAAGUAUAGAUGUUGGAAUUAACUGUCUUGGCACACUCAAGCAUAAUCAGGGUGGCUUCUCCAAGGAUCUCCAUCCGAACCCAUUUCAAUACAUUCCUUGUAUAUAUUUCGGACGCAUGUUUUUCAAUGCUUUGCAGAUGUGUUGUAAGAACUGGGGCUGUGUGGUUUGUCUCAUACUCAUCUUGGACUUCUUUGUGCCAUAUGCAAUACAUGGCACGAUGAAUUUUUCUAAUGAAAUCAUACAGUUUUAACUUAUGCUUAACAAAGCGACGCAAGUAAGAAUUCAAGCUCUCACACCUUUGUGUGGUUCGCAUUCCGGCGAAAAAGGUUCCUUUCAAAUAAGCCUCUGCCCAUUUUCUACGCUUUGCAUACAUUUUUUCCACCCAAGAAUUUUGUUCCAGUCCCAGAUCAUAGACAACAGAGAACCAAUCUCGAUCAAACUCCUCCGUGGACAUUGGAUUCAACAUUAACUGCCGAAACUUCGACGUGAACUCAUUUCUCUUCACAUUUGCUUGUGCAUUCUGCUCAAGAUGCCAGCAACAGAGUCGAUGUACACAUCCAGACAUAACAGUUUUAAUCACUUCCGACAUAGCUUUAUCACCAUCUGUUAUGACACUUAUGGGUUUUUUUUUGUUUCAUUGCCGAUAAGAAAGUCUGUAGCAGCCACACAUAUGAUUCAACAGUUUCGUCAAUCAGUAUCGCAAAUCCAAAAACAGUAGUUCUUUUAUGAUGAUUUACACCAACAAAUGCGACCAAAGGUUUAUUGUAUGCAUUUUUCUUAUACGUUGCAUCAAAGCUAAAACAUCUUCAAAUUGUUCAUAGUCGUACCGAGCAACAGUGUCGGUCCAGAACAAGUUUCGCAGUCGAUUUUCCUCAUCAAGAGUAUACUCGAAGUACACUCUAGCAUCAUAAUCAACCCUUGCAGAUAAGUAUGCAAUGGCAGCCUCUGUGUCGGUGUCAAUAAUUUGUGCACGAUGAUAUGCGUCUAUUCUAUUCCGCAUGUCCUUACCCAUAUACCCAAUAUGAUGGAACCCUCCUGCAUGAUCAGACUUGUAGUUCAUGAACUGGCACACUUUCACCCCAACUUGUCGCAAUGCCUUUGCGUGAGCCAAAUCAGCUUCGUUGACAAGUCUAUGCGAACGAAGAAAUUGUGUCUCGUGCAGUUCAACCAAGAGAUAAGUGUGCUAAAAAACGAAUUUAGUUACCACGUACUUCCCUUUCAACUUAUCAUAGUUCACGCGAAGUUCCGCCUUCCACCCGUUACGAGUAAUGCCCCUCGGUUCCCUGAUUCUGUCUGUUUUCUCCAUCCAUUUUUUUAGCCUGUAUCCCUGCCCUAAGCAAACCCAUCGCCGACUUGCUACUUCACCACUUUUUCCAUCACGAUGAAGUUCACUUUUCUCACAGAGAAUCCAACCGACUUAGCAUACUUUUUAUACCAUAUGUGGGCAUCAUUGACAGUAUCAAAACACGAUCCGACACCCACUUCAAUGAGUUCACUUUUUUUAGGCAAACUGUAGGUCGUAUGACUAGAUGAUAUUGUAGCAGAUUUGUCCCCAAAAUAAUCUUUGCUUUCGCUAGUUUGUGGGGGUAAAGACGUACCUGCACUUGCACAAAUUUCCAUCCCAUUAUCAUAUGACGGGUUGUCUUGGGGUCCACUUGUUUUCUGUUCCGAUGGCUGGUUCUCAUUGAGGUCUAACACCCAUGCAGAAAUGCUUCCCACGUCUAAAGAUGUUGUCAUGCUCUCUGGUUAUCUUCUCUCAAGAUUCUAGCAUUUGAAGACCAUCAAAAGGACCUAGUUGAAGACUUAAAAGAGUACUGUGUGGGUUAUGUUUGUUGACAUUCAAUGUCUUCAUUAAAUGAUGGGGUUUGGUUGGUGCUUGGGUUGGUGGAUACACCAUUUAAACGGCUAGCCUAUUACCUAAAAAAGGCUUGCCGGUUUUGCAUUUGUGCUCUCUGGACAUUAAACGGCAAGCCUCUUAAACUCAUGCGGCUAGCUUUUUUUAAAUUGAUGCUAACUAGAGGGGAAAUGGCUAGCCUCUAAAAUUGUAGAGGCUAGUCGUUUGUGUAUGGGUGCUCAUUGGAAGGGAAACGGGUAGCCUCUAAAAUUAUGGAGGCUAGCUGUUACUCUAUGAGUGCUCACUGGAUGGGAAACGGCUAGCCUCUAAAAUUUAAGAGGCUAGCCUAUUUCGCGUUAGGGCUCACUGGAGGGGAAACGACUAGCUUCUAAAUUUGUGGAGGCUAGCCGUUUGUGUAUGGAUGCUCACCAUUAGCGAAAACGGCUAACCUUUAAACUUUAGAGGCUAGCCGUUUUCGCUUUUGGUGCUCUCUGGACAUUAAACGGCUAGCCUCUAAAAAUAAAAGGCUAGCCGUUUUCUCUUACUAGAGUUUCUGCAACAUGAACGGUCACCCUAUUAUUUUGUAAAGGUUAGCCGGGUUCAAAGCAAUAAAACUGCUCAUCUUCGUCUUCACAAAACUGGUCAGCCGCUUCUAUCUCUAAAAUCCGAAUCCUCUCUCCCACGUUCUCAGCCGAAAGAUCCACCAUUUAUAAUCAGUUCAUAGCCCAAAUUCAACCUUAGAAAUCAUUUCCCACCAUUUACUCUUGCUAAAUUUAACCCUCGAAACCGAAAAACCCUAGGUUGUAAACCCCUUUGACUUCGGCAAAUGUUUGCCAAAAUUGAACCCACACAUCCCUUUUAAACAUCAUUAUCUUCCAUCUAAUCGGUUUAUUCCUCUUCAAAUCGCUGAAAAAUCAUAAUGUCAACUUCAAGGCCACGUUGAGCGAAAGACAAAGGGAAAGAGGCGAUUCCACCACCCAAACGGACACGGAAGGACGACGACCUUGUAGAACAAUCUAAUUUUGAAUCAAGACACUUCCCGGACAAGCGUUUGGCCACCCGUUUUCGCCAAAGAUUCAUGACACGUAAGGUACUUGAUACGUUCUAUAUUGUGCCUGAUUGGCUUCGUAGCCUUAGUAUUAACAAUGGUAAUUUGUUGCAAUUGUUGGAGGAAGUUGGUUGGAUUAAUGCCCUUACGAUUAAUGAGAAUGUGUAUCCUGACUUGGUGAAAGUAUUUUACUCUAAUAUGGAUACUUCCGCGGAGAAAGAGAAUCGAGUAAUCACCAACGUUAGAGGAGUUUUGAUUGAGCUUGAUGAUACUGAAUUGAAUUCUAUCCUAGGAACCUCCGAAGAUUGGUUAGAAAUAUAUUCUGCUAGGAAAGUUCCUACGAUUGAUAACUUUGUUAUGUUGAUGCCGUUAGAAACAUUUGUAGGCGUAUUGAUCUUUCUGAUGAGGUCUGUACAAUCCAUUUCCGUGCUCAAUGUCUAUGCCUUCAAUCGCGUAUUUUACAUUGUAUAAUUUAGAAUAUUGUCCUUCCUAGGUCGGGCCACUUAGAUGAUGUUACCCACAUGGAUGUUGCUUUGAUUGAUUCUAUCCUCAGGCAUCGGCCGGUUAGCCUUGGAUACACUAUUAUACGCACCAUGCUUUCCAUACCUAACUUAAUCAAUCGUGCUCUUCCAUAUGGAAAUUUCAUCACGCAAAUCCUUAAAUACUUUAGGGUGCCCAUAAACGAACCAUCUUGUAAACCCUGUAGGAGUAUAGGAGAUGAGGCCGUGUAUGCCUUAGGAUUUGAGUGGCAUAAUGGAGCAUGGGUGAAGUAUACUGAAGCUAAGUACACAAUGCUUGCUCCGAGUGAUGAUCGUCCUUUGAAUUCCGUGGUUCCUGCUGAUCAGCUGACUGAUUUUUCACUUCCUUUCCGGGGUUAGUGUAGACGUGAUGACCCUCCUACCUGUGAACCUGAUCAUGAUGCUUCUGCAUCUGCCGUACCACCUGCAGAUCCACAUGACUCCGGCGAAAUUACUCUUCAAUAACUUAUGGACGAGGUGAGGCCACUUUCUGUACAGCAGACUAGCUUUCAGCAUCACGUUCUGGAGGAGCACCGAUGUUUGUCAGAGCAGUAUCAGCAGCUCCUUCACGGACAACGCCUCUUGUUCGAGCACUUUGCCAUUCCUUAUCCGUUUCCACCUCCAGCACCACCAUCCCCGCCGCCUCAGUAGUUUUCAUUUCUUUAUGCCAUUAUAUAUGUUUGGAUGUUAGUUUUAUGUUCGGAUGAUUGUUUUAUAUGUUCGGAUGGUUGUUUUAUAUGUUCAAAAAUUUUAUUUGACAAGUUCGGAAGUUUCUUUUAUAUGUUCGGAAAUUUGUUUUAUAUGUUUGGAUGGUUGUUUUACGUGUUCGGAAGUAUGUUUUACAUGUUCGGAAAUUUGUUUUAUAUGCCAUCAUGGCUGCUGCUUAUUAUAGCAAUAGCUACCAACUGCAGCUGUUACUGGUUAUGCAGCUGCCUGUUGCUGCAUAAGCAGCAGCUGCUGCUGGUGUUGUUACUGCAGCUGCUGGCAUUCCAGCAGCAGCUGGUGCCUGCAAAAGCAGCAGUUGGUAGCUGCUGCUGUUGCUGGUUAUGCAGGCACCUGUUGCUGCAUAAGCAGCAGCUGCUGGCAACUACAAGCAGUAGCAUCUGUUGCUGGUGUUGUUGUUGUUGUUGCUGCAUAAGCAGCAACAGCUGCUGGCUACUUUUGUAGCAGCUGGUGCCUGCAUAAGCACCAGCUGGUGGCUACUGCUGUUGCUGGUUCUACAGCUAGUGGCUGCUGCUGUUGCAGGUCCAGCUGCAGCUGCAGUUGCUGGCUGCUUAUGCCAACAGCAGCAGCAUCUGAAAUCCCCAAAAUAAGCAUUACCAGCAGGGCCAUUAGUAGCUGCAACUGCUGGCAUAAUUAAUCACGCACAUUGAUUUCAAACCAUUUUGCAUGCUAUUUAAUCAGUUCAUCUUGACCUAAAACACAAUAUUUGUUAUUUAGCGGAAGCAAAGGAAACUAAAUGAACAUUAAAUCAUUAACUUCGAACAUGCGAUCAUUAACUUGCACUAUGGAAAUCAUACAGUUAUUGGACCAAUAAACAUGAGAUCAGCACCAUUAACUUGAUAUCGGGACCAUUAAACUUGAAACAGAAGGAACCUGAAACUUAGGGCAAUGAGCAUGAAACAUGUGAUCAUUAACUUGCAACCUAAAAAAUUAUAUAAUUAAUGGACCAAUAAACAUGAAAUCAUGACCAUUAACGUGAUACAUAAACAAAUAAACUUGAAACCAGUGAACUUGAAACUUAAGGCAAUAAACCUGAAAUAUGAGAUCAUUAACUUGCAACCAUAAAAAUGAUUAAAUUAAUAAACUUGAAACUUAGGGCAAUGAACAUGAAACAUGUGAUCAUUAACUUGCAACUUAAAAAAUUAUAUAAUUAAUGGACCAAUAAACAUGAAAUCAUGAUCAUUAACGUGAUAUCUAAACCAAUAAACUUGAAACCAGUGAACUUGAAACUUAAGGCAAUAAACCUGAAAUAUGAGAUCAUUAACUUGCAACCAUAAAAAUGAUUAAAUUAAUGAACUUAAAACUUAGGGCAGUGAACAUGAAAUAUCGAAUCAUUAACUUGCAACCUAAAAAAUUAUAUAAUUAAUAGACCAAUAAACAUGAAAUCAUGACCAUUAACGUGAUAUCUAAACCAAUAAACUUGAAACCAGUGAACUUGAAACUUAAGGCAAUAAACCUGAAAUAUGAGAUCAUUAACUUGCAACCAUAAAAAUGAUUAAAUUAAUGAACUUAAAACUUAGGGCAAUGAACAUGAAAUAUUGAAUCAUUAACUUGCAACCUAAAAAAUUAUAUAAUUAAUGGGCCAAUAAACAUGAAAUCAUGACCAUUAACGUGAUAUCUAAACCAAUAAACUUGAAACCAGUGAACUUAAAACUUAAGGCAAUAAACCUGAAAUAUGAGAUCAUUAACUUGCAACCAUAAAAAUGAUUAAAUUAAUGAACUUGAAACUUAGGGCAAUAAACAUGAAACAUGUGAUCAUUAACUUGCAACUUAAAAAAUUAUAUAAUUAAUGGACCAAUAAGCAUGAAAUCAUGACCAUUAACGUGAUAUUUAAACUAAUAAACUUGAAACCAGUGAACUUGAAACGUAAGGCAAUAAACCUGAAAUAUAAGAUCAUUAACUUGCAACCAUAAAAAUGAUUAAAUUAAUGAACUUUAAACUUAGGGCAAUGAACAUGAAAUAUCGAAUCAUUAACUUGCAACCUAAAAAAUUAUAUAAUUAAUGGACCAAUAAACAUGAAAUCAUGACCAUUAACGUGAUACCAAAACCAAUAAACUUGAAACCAGUGAACUUGAAACUUAGGGCAAUAAAUCUGAAAAAUGAGAUCAUUAACUUGCAACCAUUAAAAUUAUUUAAUUAAUGGAUCAAUAAACAUGAAAGCAUAACCAUUAACUUGAUACCCAAACCAUUAAACAUGUAACCAAAGGAACAUGAAACGGAGGGCAAUAAACAUGCAAUAUGUUAUCAUUAACUUGCAACCAUGAAAAUCAUUAAAUUAAUGGACCAAUGAACAUGAAACCGUGACCAUUAAGUUGAUACUUGGACCAUUAAACGUGAAACUGAAGGAAAUUGAAACUUAGGGCAAUAAACAUGAAACGUGAGAUCAUUAACUCGCAACCAUGAAAAUAAUGAAAUUAAUGGAACAAUAAACAUGAAAUCAGCACCAUUAACUUGAUAUUUAUACCAUUAAACUUGAAACUUCUUUUUUAUUAUUAUAAAAAUUAUUUUUUUGUCUUGUCCUUAAAUAUUAAAAUAAUGAAUAUUUUAUUAUUAUUUUAUUUCUUAUAAUUAAAUAUUAUUAUUUUUAUUAUUAUUUAAUUUAUUCAAGGGGCAACCGGUUGCAAAAACUGAUUGCUCCCAGUUUUUUUUUUUUUUUUGGUGUUUGGCCGCCACUUGGCAGCCAAACCAUUGCUCUGCUUUUUGCCUUUUUGUAUUGCUUGCAUGUAUCACAUACAUGCAUGUACUGUAGCCGCACCCUUAAAAAAAACAACAAAGCAAAUCAGAGUAAAAGAAGAAAUCACUUGUCAAGGCCGUAUCUCGAGGUUGGGAAUGCGAGAUAUCUUACGCCAGUCUCCUCCCCUGUUGCGAUAACAUUCUUCCAGAAGCCCACAAUUCGACCUAAUGAUCAAUUCCUUCAACGUUGUCGUCUGAUGAAAGUGGUCGGGUAGUGCCUUUAAUUUGGGGCAACUAUCAAUUGUCAAGGAAGAAAGACGUGGCAUGAUGUUGAUGAAGGCGUAUCCCGUUCUUGUAAUCCCAUAAUUCCACUCUUUCAAUUCCAACAUCCAAGAAAUUGUGAGUGAUUUCAAUUUGGGGAAGGCAAUAAUAACUGAUGAAGAUGAACAUGAAGAUGGCUCAUGAUGAUCACUUUCUAUCCCCAAAAAUUCAUUACCCACUCGUUUCACACUAAUCAUGUAUGUUAUGAUGACCUUUUCAAGGGAUGGCAAUAUUCCCAAAGGAGGCAGCUGGUUACAGUUUUCGCACAGAAUGAGUUCCAAACUCCUUGGAUUAGUUAAUGACAUCAUCCAGUUAGGGAAAACAUUGUUGCCUCUUUAUGAAUCUAUCACUAAUUCCUUCAAAUCUAGAGGUGGUUUCAGGGCUUCAAGAAGAAGUUGAUCGUCCUCGUUCUUCCUCAUUUCUCCUCCUUCAUCCUUCAUAUCAAACCAGAACUUCAAAUUGAAGAGGUAUUCCUUUCUAUCAAGCUCUAAUCUCUUAGCCUCAUCCACAUCUGACACAUUUCCCAGUCUACGUAGACCACAUACUUGGAGGAGUUCCAAGUUUUUAAGAGAUUAAAGCCUACAUCCUUUGUGACCAUCAACAGCUUUUCCUCUGCUCACAUGGAAUUCAUCAAAUGUCCGAAGACUCGUUAAUCUCGCAAUCCCAGCCGGCAUGCGCCCUAAGGAAUCAGUUCUCUCAUUUAGUAAAUGCUUCAUGUUUAUUAACUUCCCAAUCCCUUCAGGUAAUUCUUUAAGAUACCAACAAUGACUAAUAUCUAACUUUUCUAGAUUAUAUAACUCACAUAAUGGCUCAGGAAGUUUCCUUAUGGACGUCAGACAGGACAAAUUAAGGUACUUUAAAUGUAUCAACUUUUCUAUAUUUCUUGGAAUCUCUAGAAUGAAAUACCAUCGUGAGAUAGACCAUUUUCCUAUAUUUAACACCCUUAAACUUGUCAAUUUCUCAAAUAAUUCCUUUAGCAUCUUACCAUUUAACGAUGAAUUGUCAAGCAUGUUACCACCAAUAAAGAGGCUACGCAUUCUUUUAACUCUACAAGUGGAGACAGGAAAUGAAGCUCCUUCACCAAUAAUUAACAUUAAAUGACAAACCUUCUUAUCCAAAGAGUUUAUGGCGUUGUGUUCUUUGCUACCAUUAAUCUCCAUCGAAGAACAUUCAUUUUGACUUACAAAUUGGGCAAAAUCGUGUACUAUAUCAUGCAUCUUGCACGCUACAAUAAGAUUAUCA